rnacentral:lncRNA from 1 species
CCCGACCUCUCUUUCUUCCCUUGCGCUUUGCUCUAGCUUCGAUCCUCUACUCAUUAGUUGAGUUCCCGCCUCUACUUCUUCAAUUGAUGAUUCCGUCUUUCGCCCAUAGGGAGAAGAAUAAGCAUAUAGUAUAGUGGAUAGCACUGGAGUCACACCAAGUGGUAACUGAAUUGGUUUACCCGACAACAAGAUUAGAACUAUCACUAUUAGCCCGAGCCUUGUAAUAGAAUGAAGAGUUGCGGUCACCACCCAAACACAAGCACCGAACCAGUAUCUUAGAAACUAAAGCACCGAACCUGUAUCUUUAGCUAAGCAAGAAGGAGUUCAGUCUGCUCUUCCUCUGUAUACCUAUUACGACUCUGCAGGGGAAACUGUAACUCAUUAAGGAGCUGAGCUGCUAGAAGGAGAAGAGUAUUGGAUCGGAUGUUACUAAUUUCAUAGGCAUCGGAUGUUACUAAUUCCAAAGAAACACUAGCACCCGCUACUAAAGCUAGAGGGCCAAGCGUAUACUACUGGACUGGCCUGGUCGCUACUACCUACACGGGAUGAAACUCUCAACUCCUGCUCUGCUGACCACUUCUGUUCUCUACCUUUUUCCCUGAAUUCUUACUUGAAACUCAAACUCCCGGCUCAUCUCAUCUCUUUGAACUCUUGCUACAGCCAAGCCCCUACUAGACUUAACCGGGGUUAAACGAUAAUAAUUGCCUUUAUUUACAGCUUUCCCUUUUCGUGCUUGGAUUCACUUUUGAUAUGGUCCAGACUUAUAUACGCGUCUACUUCUUGUCCUAUCUUCUGAAGCGGUAAGAGAAUAAGUGUCAGAGUAUUAAGAAUCAGAGGGUAAAGCAGAAGCUGUGAAAAAGGAAGCAGCGAUAAGGGAUGCAGUGUAUUUACUUGGAUCUAUACCAUACUAUAAAGAUAGAUAUUCCUUUGUUGAAGUCGAGUAAUAUAGAGAAGUUAUUGUUUCACUUACAUUAGAUAGAAAGAGGUCACCCUGGGGAGUAUAGGUCGGUAAGGGGCCAAGCAACAGAGCCUCAUUCUUUGAAUAGUGGACAGAGGUCAGAGCCCUAACUGUAUUAGUAGCCAUUGCCAGAGGAGAGAGUUGACUGGUUGGUAUUGCACUAAAGAAUAGAGUGGACUUACCUAUCCUAUGGAAUUGCUAUCAGGCAAGUAACUACUAAUGACCAAGCCACUACUAAUGUGGCGACCAAGCUUAGGCGUAAGACGGGCAAGUAACUACUAACCAAGCAACUACUAUUGGACUGGAACGAACCCUACCAGCUAUCAGAUACCUCGACUCUGGACUAGAGCAUCUCAGCUAACGAAGAUAGAGAUUUGUAUUAGUAUCGGAGUGGCGGUCUUAGAACAAUCCACUUCUAUUCUAAUUACUUGGAGCAGGAGCCGAGCCAGUAGUUCCAGUUUCAAGUCAGAAUGAAGAGCCAGCUUCACAUAGAGAAUAAGCGAUACCAAUAUAAGAAUGAGCAAUAUAACUUGGAUAAUUAAUGACUACCGUGCUUUUCUAUCCUUCCUUUACAACAUUGUUUUAUUGCCUUUGCUACAUUGUUUUAUUGCUCCAAAUUCCAUAAAUGACUUAGUGACUUUUGGAUCGGAUGCCAUGCCGUACUAAAGGAAGCUGCGUAUCAACAAGCUUAGGAGCACAAAGGGUAUAUUGGGUGGUAGUUGGUAGGUGGUUAAGUGAUACUAAAACAUAGUCCAGCUUCAUUAAUCACCCCGGAGCAGUGGCUUGAUUACGAGAAGCAGUAGUCAUAUUCUUAUACUAGUAGUAGGUCCUAUAAGUACAAUUUCGAUUCUUUUUAUUGGUAGCUCUGUUCCCGGGUUCGAGUUACACUUUAGUUGGACCAAGUAUCAGUUUUGAAUCGAGGGAUGGUAGACUAAUAUAUGGAGGAGCGGACAAGCGAGACAUAGAAGAAGUUGGGCCUCGCGAUUAAGGUAAUAAGGCUUUUGUACUACUUAUUGGAUCGAGUUCUUCUACUAAGGAAUGAAAUACUGGAUGCGCCCUCUACUACUAUAGUCAGAAUAGGGAGUUGAGCGAAAGAAUGCAAGGUAGGGUAUUGGAAUGAGAAACAGUAGUUUGAGUUGGAGCAGGUAAAGUAAGCCCAGAAACCAAUAGUUACAGACCAAAAGCAAGGACAGUUAGAAUCGAAGUCAAGAGGUACCGGUGGACCAGCCAUUGAUUGUGACUUGAGAGUUUCAUUACUGGAAAGUAUGGCUCGUUCGUUAGGGAACCUUGCUGAGUACAGUAGCAGCAUCAAACAAAAUGGUAGUACAUUUCAUUACUUUGAGAAUCCUAAUCCUAAUCUCAUCCUUAUCGAUUUGCUAUCUUUCUCUAGUCUUAUUAGCCCCACUUAAUUAAGGUGAGCAGAAGAUGUUUCCUGAAAUUGGUAUUGAUCCUAACACUGGGUCGUACUAUUAGUAGUAUAGUAGUAGCAUGGAAUUGGUUCAUUUUCUCCAUGUUGAAGUAGUCGAAGCACAAACAGCAAACCUUCUUUCUAUUCUUUUAGCGAUCAAAGAAUAGCUCUCAUACUGGGAUUGGGAGUUCUCUUUCUCUCCUCUGCGUGUUACCUCUGAAAAGCCUCUUUUAAUGCUAUUUCAUGCGGGUUUUCUCUCUUCCUAGCGGGAUUUCCCAUCAACACCAAAUGAGUUAUGUUAUAGUGGAUUUUCUACCAAUAUCUUAUGGGUCAAGCAAGAAUGACAUAGGUAAUCCCAAGAGUGAACCCAAAGUAAUACAGGAUGCGCGGAACAGCUAGGAAUAAUGAUCUGAUCGAAGCUCGAAACACGGUUGAAGAAGCACACUCGAAAGUCGGAAUUCAUCUCAGUAGUAACAGGGCCAAGCAACGAGCACAAGAACUCAACUUACUGCUUCAAAGCCUCUAACUAAGGACUUAGUAGUAGCUUUGCCCGAGCCUUACUUACCCUAUUCUUAGUAACUAACUUCUACUAUCUUGUUCAAUUCAAGCUCCUAACUCAGGUGCCUCCGAUCCUAUAACUUCAUUCUGAAAACACAUAGAAAGUAGGCCUACUAACCAAGCUCUCUACACGGGGCCAAGCAGCGACGAGUUUCAUCCAUUAAGUCUACCUCCGCUACUGAUGCAACUGGACCACUUAGGGCUUUCAAAACCAAGUCCUGUGUUCAGCUGCUUCACGGAUUCAAGUCGAACAGUCCAUUCGAGAAGGCAAGGCCAAACAACUUUCUCUUAUAAGUGCCCGCGUGAUGCAUUUCAUCAAGGGCGUUCCCGCUAGGAGGUUUGUUACCAUCUUUGAGGCGAGUUACAUCUUCUAUCAAUUCAGAAAAACACAGCAUACUCUAAAGAAAAGAUAAGUCUGGUCGACUGGCUCAUCAGCUGUUCAAGGGAAUGGCUUUCUAGCUGCCCAUAUGCUUUUCUAAAGAUGCGAAGAGUUAUAUAAGAGGAGUUCUGGUCUGAAACUCUCUUACGCGCAACAAAUCAAAUCAUGGAAUUGAGAAUUGAUAAGUUCACACACAUUAUAUAGAUUGGAUUCACAAACCAUAGCAUAGCUUCUAACAAGCGGACUCGCUAAGGACAACGUCUAUUCCUAUCGGCCCUCGAAAGAUUGAAUGAAUUAUGUGAUUGCUUGAACACCAACUCUCUUGGACUUAUUGUAAUGGCGGGUAAUACGAGAUAUAUGAGUGGAAAAGCAAAAGCAAAGUGGAACUCGCUAACCUUAACUCAUUUCACAAGGGCAGUAAAGAAGGCCUCUUCUCUAUGACAAGGAGCUAGAGCAAGAACAAGAGCGGGUGAGGAAAGAAAAGAAAGAAAAGUGGAUCUCGUUGAGUAUAGAUGAAAUUAUUGGUAAUCAUAGUCUGAUCAAUCUUCCAUUCCUCCUGGUGCACCAUAAGAAUUAGGGUAGCCGAAAACAGGCCCAACGGAAUCAGCUGUGCAAUGAAAGUCUGGGUUCGGUGCUUGGCUUGAUUAACCUUAGUUGGCGGUACGAGAAGAGGUUAGCUUUGGGGAAUCCGCAAGGCCAGAUAUGCAGCAGUUUCCAGAUCUUCCGCUUGGAAAUUGCCUGUUAGAAAGUAAGCAGCAAAGGAAGCAGCAAGACUUAGAGCUUACGGAGUUAUCUUCGGCGCAAGAUAAUCAAUUAAUGUUUGACUUCAAGAUAGUUCUUAUGGAGAGAAAGAACACUCUGAAAUCUGAAUGAUUAAAUGCCGCAAGAUAGAUUGUUGAAUGAUUAGUUGACUGAAGCGUUAAGUCAUGCCCAACUGUGGUUGCCGAUAAAAGAAUAAAGAAUCAACGUCUGCCUCUGCAAGUCCUGUUUAGUUACUACGCGGGGAUGGGAUAGUUCGUUUUGAAGUGAAGAAGACCGGUCCAUUAUUCUUAUUCGAGGGUAGGCUUUCCUGCCCAAUUAUUCUUAUUCGAGGGUAGGCUUUCCUGCCCAUAGGUAUAACUACACGGCUUUAAUAAUAUAGAAGGUAGGCUUUCCUGCCCAUAGGUAUAACACCAUAACCUAUCAACUCUGUUCCCUUAGGCGCGGAAGCAUAAGAUCAUUGAACUCUCUGUUAGUGCAUCCCGAAUUCCACUACUUUGAGCGGCGAAAGCUGUUGCUGGUUCAGCUAAAGUAGUUUCAAGUUACCGUGUUUUUUUACAUCUAUACACGUGUUUCAAUUCACAAACAAAACGGGCCAGACAAGCUACUACCUCUCUUAUUUAUUACUGAAUUCUAUAGGGGCGCCCCCUUUCUUCUUAUUAUUAUAGAGAUUCUUAUCUGGUUGACUUCACUCGAACAGAAAAUCGAAAUACUAGACUUCAGGAUCAUGCUACAGGUAAGGUGCGCAAGAGGUUUACUACCACAACUCGGUUAAGGGAAAGAGGGCCUAAUUCUCGGCGCGGGAAACACAAUUUAUAGCUCAUUUUCCAUAAGCUCCGUAAGACAUAGGGUGCUCGAUACGAAAGAGGAAAUUCCAAUUAAUGAGUUCAAACAUUGGCCCCGAGAGAAAGAAGUGAUUGACUCUAAGUCUUGAGAGGAGUCCGCAGGUGCUAUAUAUACACAUUUGAGGAUUGCACAAACACCUUGAUUUUAGGAAUGCACAAACACCUUUGCUUGCCUUCCCUUAACGCACUGAGUCUUCUUCUUGCUAUUACAUUUCCAGUCUGACUGUAAUGUACACCCUCCCACUCCAUUCUUAAAGGAAGGACCACUAGUUCCAGUGGUCUUUUCUGAAUGGGGCACUUGGGUAGUUACUUUUCUCUCUAAUACCCUCUUUCUUGCUAAUACCCUAUGGCUCACUUUCAUUCUUAAUCCAUUAGGCGCGUACCCUAUUCUGAAUUCUGAAUUGAUAUCUACUUAUUGAUAGAUACUUAUUAAUUGAUAUCUAAUAUAUGUGCUAUAUGCGGUAUGAUAUCUAAUAUAUGUGCAAUAUGCGUACCCUGAGCCUAAUUCUGAUACAAGACCCCCAACUACUAAUAAUUAUAGAAUGCGCAACUCACAUAGGUAAAAGAAUGCAACUCACCGGACUAACGCCGAAAGCAUCUAUUGUAAUAACGGGAACUCUAGCGGCUCUGCCGCGCAACAUUAGUAGUUGCUUGGCGCGCCGUUGCUUGGCCCUUGGCCCAUAAUUCCGUAUUUCUCUAUAUAUAGGAAAAACCAUCUCACUUAAUAUAGGAGAAAGUUUCGAAAGAGAGAAACAACAUAGUUUGAAACAGAAUCAUGAGCUAGGUAUGAUAGAAAGAAGUAACCAACCGCCAAGCAACAACAGUAGAUGAGCCUAAGCCUAAUUCUUGUAUCAAACUAAAGAAGAAAACCGGGAAGGGACGGGAUGCCGACAUCAAUAAUAAUAGAUAAGGAUCAAAUUCAUUCUUUGUUUACUCCAUCUGCCCGUAUUGAGAGAAGCGGCAGGGACAGUUACAGUUCUCAACUCAGAAUGUAGCUAGUCAGUAACAGAGAUUUGGAGAGUUCUUUAUUCUCCUUAUAUAUGAAACCAGAUGAAACUCUUAAUUCCACUCCAGUGGUAGGAAAGGUCAGAAUGCAACCAGUCAAUCAAAGAAUGGAACAGCUAUGACCAGAAACCUGAUAUGAAACCUUAGACCUAUGACUUGAAACCUGAUUGAGUGUAAGUAAUGGAUAUGAAAUGAAACUCUCCUCUAGUACUGAAGUCAAGAAUUUCGCUAAGUAGUCAAAGGAGACAACUACAAUAAGAAACAACAUAUAGUCUAUUUAUUUGUUGCUAUUACCAAGUCCUGUAUUUGCCAGCCCCAACAGAAGCUCCACAGGGGAAAGGUAAGUCCUAAGGUUAUGUACGAGUCCUUUGUUCAUGGCGCCAUGGAUCCAACAGCAUACCUUUAGCUGACCUGGGGCCAAGCAAGGAGCAAUUCCAAUUCAAAAGCUCACUGCCGAGUCACUACUAACUCGCUUCACCACCCUAUGCCUCUUUUCACUCCGGCUCCUCCACCUCUGGUUUUAGUCAACUGGUUCUCUUUACACUCUAGGUUUUGGUUACUUUCCCUUGGAUUUAUCUGGUUCCUAACCUGCUCCGGACUCUAUACUUGUAUAAUUGACAACACUUUCAAAGGUGAACAAAACCCACUUACUGCUGCACUUAUAAUAAAUACUUCCUUCGCCUGUUACUAGGGUUAUAUACUAAAUACUAGACUCUCGCUAUCCCCUUUGCCCCCAACAGGUAAUUCCAAUUCUGUAAUGAUGUAAUGAUAGCCCGCCUCCAAAGGCAGGAGUCCUAGGCUAGAGAAAGAUUCUAGAGCUGGAUAAUUGGAACUCCAAAUCUCUAUUCUUAUUAAGGAAACCGUUAAAGGGACUGCCGCUACACAUUAGUCGUUACUUGGCUCGUUGUCACUCACUUUUCCUUCGUAGACUGACAUCGAUAUUGUCACAAGUUGUCCCCGUCUUUUUGGUUGCAAGUCGACUUCCUUUCCUAAACUGGCAUAGAAAUUGUUACACUGCCACGAAACCCCGUGAAAAAGGGCAAAUUCCCCAGCUGUUCACUGACCUAUCAUUACCUAUCGGGGUAAUUACUUGACUUUUCCUUUGUUUGGUCCAAUCCACUUUAUUAGGCAAUUAGCAGGUUUAACAUCCGAGAGUCUUGCAGUUCAAGCAAUAGUACAUAUCAGGAGUGGGAAGGUCUUAUUGGACAGAAAAGGGAGGUAGGACAGGUCUUAUUGGACGGAAAAGGGAGGUAGGACGUGCCCUUAAACUAGAACAUCGCUUCUUUCUAUUAUACCGGUGGCGGAGCAAUUAUGGAAUCCGCGGGGUAAUCAUAGUGAGCUAGAGGCUCCUCCACAAUAAGCAGUGUCCGUCCUAACCUUAUGGAAUUUGCAGAUGAUACACCCCUUCCUUUUAAGCGUACCGAGCAGAAGAAUGAAAGUAAGGCACUCAAUCCUUUUAUUCGGCAUCCGACUCCGAUAUUAGCAGAAGAAGAAGUUAAGGUAUUCCAAAGCUGUAAAACAAGUUAUCAGCGGUCAAAGGCAGAACCGGACCAGAACUAGUCUUUCCCUUGGCCGGAGAGCAAAUGCAAGUCCUUUCAAACUAGAGCUCCUGUCGGUCUUUAUAAUAGUAUUGAUUGCUCUAUUGCGCGGGUAUUAGCCUCAGAGGCGGCGUAAGGCAUUUCCCACAGUAAGACAUGCUCCCACUGGACGACAUGCGGAUAGAGAAGAGAAACAAAGCCCUUUCUAGGAGUCAUCCCUUGUUCACUUCUUUCCUUCUAAGAUUUUAUUCAACAGUGAUAAAGGAAAAGAGUAAGGCCAUAAAAGCAUUCAAUAGCAGCGCUUAUGCCUUCAACAAAGAGCUAAUUCCGGAACUUUAUUCUAUUUCAAUUGCAGCAGCUAGUUCCUUAGGAUUGCUAAACACUAGUCUUUCCUUCCCACCCAGAUUGCUAAACACUAGUCUUUCCUUCCCACCGGCAAUGCUAUACCUUAUCCAUUUUCCUUGACCUUCCAGCUGAGCCCCUUUCUUACGCAAAAUGCCUAUUUUCAAUCAGACUAGGCUGGGCGUUUGAUGGAAUUCAAUCAAGUGCUAGUAUUUGGAACUGCUCUAGUCAUUAUCUCUUCCUGUAAACUGAAGUGGAGUCUUUGGUCUCUUAGCCUAGCGGAAUUAAUGUAGUCUGCGGUCCCUUUGUCAAUGACCCAUGUCUUUGAGGAACUACUGUACUUGUUCCAUCCCAGAUUCUUUUUGCCCGUCUCACCAAACAAUGCUUCCCCACUUUCAAAGAAGUUGCCUAUUCCAACUGUACUGGUCUCUAUCAACUAACUAAAGCACUAAAGAGAGGUGGGGCAGGAGUCACUAAAGCACUAAAGAAAGAGAGGUGGGGCAGGAGUCACUAAAGCAUUAAAGAGAGGUGGGGCAGGAUACAUAUCUUUCUCUUUCAUAACCAAAAACGGGAUAUUCGCAUUAGCAUAAGGAGGAGAACGAAGAGAUGAGCACUUUUCAAGCAGUUUUCCUUAACGAAGUAAUCUAUGUGACCAAUGGACGUUUCAAAGAAAUAAGGGAGUCGGAGCUUUACUAUACUCCAAAUAUCGAUAUUGGUAGUUUGAGUAUAGAUUUGAGACUGGAACAUAUGCCUUCUGACUCUAUAGAUAGGACGACGUGACACGAAAUGGAUCACUUAGAACCUAUGAGAAAUUGAUAACAUUUCUCCUUUCCUUCUAAACUGCCUUUCCCGCAUCAGUCUAUAGAGUAGAUUUCCCAUCCUUGGUAAACUCUCGAGAUUGCUUUUCUUUUUAAUGUCGUCCGAGGAUCCAGUCCUGCAGGUGCUUGAAAAGGGAAUUCUCCCGAGACAUCAUUCGAGUUAGCAUCAAAGUUUGCGUAUGAGUUCGCGCAGUAAACGACAAAGGAAUUUCUUUCCUACUUCCAGAUAUUAUGAAAACUAAGCAGAGCAGGUGACUAGUCGGUUCCCCGUAGGGUAGGUCCAAACAUGGGACAACAGAAAGAUGCUCCAAUUGCCAAAGUGUCAUAGUCCGAGGCUCCGCUUGUUAUUUCGAUAGAGACCUACAGUCCGGAAGACCAGAAUGGCAUGACUUAUAUAAUAGGCAAGAGCCAACAGCAAAUACAAUUCGAGGAGCAUAAUCUGGCUCUAUCUAGAACUUAUUAUUUGGAUUCUUUUGGCUCUAUCUAGAACUUAUUAUUUGGAUUCUUUUGCUUAGUUAACGAGGUUAACGAGAAGAGGCGAAGAAAAGAAAGAAGCGCUCUAGCUAUCACUUGAUGUAUUGGUUUUGAAUCAACUCGUAAACGGGAGAAAAGAUGCUCUUAUUUCGCCAAGUCCAUAAGUACCAUAGGCAUAUACAAAGAGGAUUGACCACACUUGAUUUCAUGCAACUGUGCCUUCUCUCUCCGGUUAUCGUAUUCCUUUCUUAUAGCAGUUAGGGGGUUAGUUUCAAGCUCGUUUAUGGGAUGAUGUAUUUCGUUAGAGAACUUUGGUUUCUGCUAUGCUUAGAUACCUUGUCCAGCUACGUUACGUUAGAAGCUUCCACCUCGUGCAAACGGAUGCUUUUUCCAGAGGCAUGCCUCGGUUCAGAAAGGCUUUCGAUGUUUCCGAUGUUUUGAUCCUUCUUUUUGUUCUCUCCCGGCCCUGCUUGAAAACGGAUUGAUUCCAAUCGGGUCCAGGACAUUCGACGAAAAAGGAUGACCCAAUGCUAUGACCUUUAUCACCCCCAAAAAGGUAAAGAUCACACAUUUGGAAAUCAGCCCGCCCCUAAAUAUGUGUUCAGGAACGCUAUGUAAAUAGGGUCGCCCUCACACAGCAUCUAUUAGUGAAAUCAACAUACGUUUCAAAAAGCAUUUGGAAGCCAUAUAGCCAUUUAAGCCUUACUCCCUAUUAUCUCUUAAAUCAAGCUAUGAGAAAACGAGCCUUGGUAACCAAAGGCUUUAAGGCUGGAAAGUCAGCAAUGGAGUAUUGGCGGAGUGGGAGAGGUUAACUACAGGCUGAGAGACAGGCAAAGUAGACUGGACAAGUAACUACGGUGGAUCACCAUCAGCAGUAAUCCGUUUUGUUAGUGAGUUUGCCGGUGCAAGACAAUAACGGUAGCGUGAGUUUGCCGGUGCAAUACAAUAACGUUAGCUUACUUUCCUAGGGGUGGAUGCCUCAAUUCCCAUCUUUAUGCUUGUGGGCAUAUCCACAACCGAACAAGAGAGAAAUGCAAGGGCAGUAAACUAUAACAAGCAACAGCACAAGAGUAAGGCGAUAAAGGUUCGGAGAAGUCAAGAGCAGUGUGAGUAGCACUAGAAUCUCUUCCUGGCCUGCCGGGCCCUAUUGGUCAAACUUUUGUUGCACGAGAGGGUGUUGCUUUUGUAAAAGUCUUCAAUCUCUGUUCGAAAGUGAGGGUUCGGGGAAGUCCACCAUACCACUAGGACAGGAAGGGUCUCUUAACUGUAACUAUACUACUCGGACAGUCAGGGUUUUGAAACUGCCUCAUUUGCUUGGCAAUGAUCCCCAAAGCACCGCUUGGGCUAGGGAAAGGGCGGACGAGUACGACAUCUUAGAGCAGCUUAGGUAAAUACCGGUUCUUUCUAUUUUCGCUCAAUACAUCCCAGAAGCACACUUACAUCUUCUUUAGUGUUGCUAAAGUCAGUCCACAUUACCCAUAGUCUCCAGGCCUUCAGGCAAUGAUAGGGCAAAUCACUGCACCUCAACCCAUCGAAAAGGAUGCAGCACAUACAGGCCAUCUGCACAUUUGCCUCUCUACACAGAACAUAGAUUCUUUCAAAAGGUGCACAAAGUGCUUAUAUCCAAGGGUGCAGGAUGGAAUAUUGGAUUGGAGAUUUUUCCCCUAAAGCAGAGACUUGUGGGUAGGACCAGUGCAACAAGCUCUUCCACUUAAUGUCAUUGACAUACAUGCCGUCCUCGUUUAAUCAGCUCUUAGGAAAGACCUUGGCAGCAUGAAAACAUGACUGUAUCCAUGUAUCACUGCCUUUUCCAUAAAAUUCCCGGAAUAAGAUAGUUGAUGAAAUAGCAACCGAGGAGCUUCCUGCCUGCCUAUCAAGGAAUACGUAUAGAUCUUCCACUCCAGAAAACGACUCCAUUCUGCUAAUAAUCUAAGACAAAGAAGCAGCUAGGUCUCUGUCCCUUAACCCUAAAAGUCAUAAACCGGAGAAGAAUGAACACAAUCCUUUCCUUCAGCAUUCUACUGGAGCGGGGAGGAAGAAGAUACUUUCUAUAGGAAUAAGACCCAAGCUUGUGCUCCAACUUACCCUUACUUAUUCCAUUCUACGCCCCGAUGGGAAAGUAAUGCUCCACUUCUCCAAUAUUGAUUUACCUGGAUAUGGGGAACUAGGAAGAAUGAAAGACCCCAUCGACGAUUUGGUUUACUCCGGAACAAAGAUUCUAGAGAAAUGACUGGAUGAUGAACAAGAUGCACUGCUGCUGCAAUAGAACUUUGGAACCGGCAUCGAGGUCUCGCUGAGCCUUCUAUACUUUACUCCCGCACCACCUGGGAAGAAGACAAGAUCGAAUCCACAAGUCUCGUGCUCGUCUCGUUGAAUAUGGACACUAAAGAUACAUUUCGUAUUAUGACUUAUGAUAAAGCAUGAACAACUGCCCCCGUAGAAGCAUCAACAGGAAAGUGAAGCAAUACGAUGGAAGUGAAAUAAUCAUCAUAGGCUCCCCGAACAGAAGGAAUUGACUAUGGGUACCGACCGGGGAAGCCUGCCUAGCAAAGCAAAGUUUGGCCUAAAGCUAAGACAGAUAAUCGAUUGCUGCUCAUAGUCUGAGGGAGAGCUCGUCUAGAGAAGUAUUGAGAAAUAGUAAAGUCAGGAUAGAGGCUAUCGCCACCAAGGGUUCUGGAAGACGUAAGACGAAGUAGAUGAUGUGUUGAAUGUAAUUAAAUGCUGGAUUGAUGCCUUUGUUUCUUUCUAGGCUUGAUGCCAAUGUAAUUAAAUGCUGGAUUGAUGCCUUUGUUCGACCAAGCAACUACUAAUGACCAAGCAACGGGACAAACAACUGCUAAUGUUGUGCGUCAGCAAUAGUCAGAAGUCAUAACGAAGUUAUUACAGUAUCUGUGCUCGGACGUUGUGCGGUAGGAGCCUGAGCUAAACGGUAGCGAGUUAAAAGAGCGGCAGGAGCGGUUCCACGCCUAUAUCCUAACUAAGGCUUGUCAUCAAGCAGCUCAUUUAGUACUUACCUGAGUCUUGUUGCACCGAGGAAAACUCUCCAUUUCACCUGCAAACUUAGAGCCAAGGGCAUACAAUACCUUCACUUGAAGAACCGAACCAUUUGAAUCACUUAGCGCUAACUUUCCUAUAGUCUUUACUCACGCUGCUUCUGAAACAGUCAAUUCGGUAUUAGUUGACGGGAAGGGAAAGGUAGUUGAUUGAGGCGAAGUCCAGCCAGGUCCAGAUUCAUGGCAAAAAUGCACCAGAAGGAUCGUUUCUCUGUUUCAAUGGAAUUAUGGCUAUCAGAGGAGAAGAGCAGCCCUACCGCGGAAUCAGAUCGGUUGGCAGCUCACCUUUGACUUUAGCCAACACCAGGAUACUUUCCUGCUCCAGUAGAUUAUCUUGUUCCUCCUCCAGCUCUUGCUUCUGCUUCAACUAAAGAAGAUGCUGUGCACUACUUGUUCUAUUGUAUUUCGAGUCGAAUUCUUAGUAGUGCUAGUGGAAUUAUUCUUCUUAUUAGUAUAGAGGUCGGGUCAAGACUUAGUGGAGAAUGUCCUUAUUCUAUUUCAGUGGAGGAUGUCCUUAUUCCUAUUAGUGGAGAAUGUCCUUAUUCCUAUUAUAUUAGUUUAGAAUGUCCUUAUUAUAUUUCUAUUUCUGUUUGAGUUGGAAUCGUUCGGUUCUGAAUGAGUUUCUUCGUAUAUAGAUGCUGUGCCAAAGUAAGCAGAAGAGAAAUACAGAUCUUUAGAAGGAGCAGAUGAAGCGGAUGCAGAGCUUUAGAAGGAGCAGAUGAAGCAGAUGUGUAGGCAGGAUCGGAAUACGGAACAGGAGAACCAGAAUCAUAAUAAGAAGAUUUAGAAGCUGCCAGCAACAGGAUUAUUCUUGUUCCCCGUAUGAUAGAAGAAGGUCACUUACCCCAUCCAUGUGCUCUUUUUUAGAAUAUAUAGUAUCGAGUUAGAAUUGAAUGCGCUAAUUACUUACUUACUUAGUGGUAGCUUGUCUGCCGAAAACAGGAAUUGUCAUAAUGUAGUUACUCGGCGUUUCACUCCUCUUAUGGCAAAUGACCUAUAAAACCCAUGAAAAGCUCUUACAAUGCAUUUGAGCCUAUAAUACAGGACUUACUUAUUCUCGCUUCUGCUGCAAAUCCAUCUUCCGCUUGAGUUUAGACUCUGCCUUCUUCUCCCGAUCCUGCUCCAUCUUCUGGUUCAGAUCUAUCUUAUGCUUCUGCUCUCGAUUCAACAUAAUCACCUAUAAUAUGAACUAACAUAUAUACUGAUCUCUCUCUUUUUAACUAACAUAUAUACUGAUCUCUCUCUUUGACUUCAUCACAAUAAACUCAACUUGAAGAGAAGAACCCUUCCCUACCUGUUGCUAAUACUAAUGUUAACGUAAAGGAUGCUAAUAGCAGGACUUCCGCCGCUUACAGAGUUAGCUUGGAGCUUACGGAGUGUCAAUUCCAUUAAGCAGUUAAGCAGUUCAAUUUCAAUGACAGUUUUCCUCGGGGCAAAAGAAAAGUCAAGUGGGUGUUUGGCUCCAAAGUUGAGUAUUAACCUAGCCAUAGGGACAGUUAGGUCUGUGAAACUUACUAUAUGGGAUGGGGCAACCGGCAAUGCAAUUUCCAUGAAUAUACCUUGCAUAGCAUAUAAGUGAUUCAUUUCUCUCUCUUGAAACCUAUAUUGCAACUAGUCUAAUAAAAGAAUCCAACUUCUCCUUUGGGCGCCGGUCAAUAAUCAAGUAUGUGCUCUUCUCUAACAGCAGUAACUCAGGAACUCACGUUACACCGAUACUAAAUCUGGACUUGCGCGUUAGUUAGUGGGCGGAAUCUCCUAUUGAUCUCGAACUUUCACUCUUACACUUGUUGGAACUAAACCAAUAGUUUGCUUUCUCUUUGCACCCUUGCUAUCCUAUGAUCUUUAUGAACCACUUGUAGCAGGAUCGUUUGCGCAACGCACCUUUUCCUUUUCCUUUCUCCUGCGGAUUCUGGAGUCGCCAAGGAGUCGGGACAAUCAGUCUUAUCAUCACAGCGGUCUUACCUACCAUUACAAGGGGCUUCAUAAAGACAUUAUCUACAACAACUAAGGUCAAGGCAAUCAUGCUAAGGGAAAAGCCAAUCACUUCUAUCUACAACAAGCAGGGUAAAUAACCCCUCUGGUGGCCAACAAAAGAACCGACAACAGGACAAGAAGUGUAGUGACCAACCUAUGGCGCUACUCAUUAAUUUCAAGGAGACUUCACUCUAACAUCAAUUGAUUACCCUUUACCUGGCAGUACUUGUGCUCGAUGCGUAAGAGAUGGAUUCAAUUAAUAUGUUUGAAGCAGUUCUGUGUUUCACCUAUGGUAAACUAAUCCAAUGUAGAAUUGAUUUCACUAAGUCUUGCCCCGACCUCUGCUUCUCGCCCUGGAUCCUCUUGCUAAUGCAGAUCUUUGAGUUUCGGCUUGAAUACCAGUUAGCAGCAAAUAAAUGCAAAUACGGAGGAGCCUUCUUUCUCGGUGAAAGACUAUCAAACCCUCCGAAAAGCUCUUACAAUGCAUUCACUUGCCCUCAAUCUACCCGUUGCUAUAAUCAAAUCCUAUUUAUUACUCUAUUUUAUACGAGAUACUUGCCUUAGAGCUGUAGGGCUAGUAGGACCAAGAGCAAGUCCUGUUCUCUUUGCCCAAGAAGGAUCCCUGGUUUAGUGAAGGAAGACCCAGGUCCAGACCCAACUUAAUAUGCAGUUGGAAGAUAAUCUGAAGUUCUCAUUUUGGAUCUAGUUGAAAGAGAAGCAGUUAGGUCAGGGGUUGAGCAGGAUCUAAAGAAGAAUAAUCAGCGGAUAAAGAAUUUGGUAAAGAAUAAGGAAAAGUCAGAAAGUAAGCUCCAAAGUUGAAAGGUGAAGUUCCGGGUCCAGCCCUGAAGUUAAUGGUUGAAGUUCCAGGUUCGAGCAAGGAUUUAAGUGUUGGGAGUUAAGUCCUUAUAGGGUGCGAGUUCCCUUGCUAGUUCUUACUCAUUUAACUGAACAAACUGAAUGGAAUCCAAUCUAGCGUUCAUUCACUGGCAUUUCCCAUCUAGCGUUCAUUCACUGGCAUUGUAUAGAAGAUGAGUCUGUAAUAGGUUAGUCAAUCCUCUGUAAAUGGUGAAAGAAGAGACGCCCCCACUUUUGUAGAUGAUAAAGGGGCUAACUCAGACCUAGCUAUAGCCUUAAAGCAUCAGUUUUCUUUGAUGUUUAUCAGCAUGCGCGCUGUAUAGGCAUUGCUAAACAUUUCCAAUUGAGCUAGACUUCUGCCCGGGGAAAGCGUCGUACCCCUAAUGGGUGGUGUCCGUGCCUAUCUGAGGAACUUGUCGCUGAGAAAUACCAAACUCAAGUAGUUAUGGGGUUAACAACAGAGGGGUUAAGAAAGGUAGAUUGCAUUGAAUACUGUAAUUCCACUGUCCGCAAGAGUGGUCAACGAUCCCGAAUCUAAUGCAUAAGUAAAGUAAGGUGCUGAAAGCUGUGGGAACUCUCCCGAAGUAGGCACCAAGCAAGGGAAGAGAGUGAGUGACUUACUGACUUCCAUAGGAGUGAAGUUCUCUUCUAGUUCAAUCCUUGAAUACCAUAAUUCCACUGUCCCCUUUCCAGAAUGGCAUGAAGCUUGUGUGUAAAGACGGUGAAGUUAUUCUCGGCAAUGAUUCAAUGCUUUCCUGGCCUGUGUUCAAUGGCAUGAAGUCAGCUUUCCGUAAUAGCAUGGGAAAUUCCUUGAUUCGGGAAGUCAAGGCAUGAAUAAAGCAAUUAAGGAAGCGUGGCUAAUUCCUUAUCUACGGUACGGGAGCACACUUCAUCUUUGAGUUCCCCCCCACUAUGGAUUUCCAAAUCAUCAUCUUUCCUUUCAUCAACAACAUCCAAUUCCAUUGCAGAAAUCAAGAAAUCGAUUCCUUAAGCUUCCCGCUUCUGGCUUCCCUUUUUCCAAAUCCAUAAUUGUAUAUCUGUACCUUGCUUGGGGAGGUAUAUCAAUCUCUUUCCUUUCUUUGCCCCUCGUUCGGGAGAGGGUUUCUCCGCUCUGGUUCACCACCUCAUAUUGAAUAAGCUCCUUUAAUUGUCCCCUAUUUCCAUUUGAACUAUUUAUUCGUUUUUAGUAUAUUAAGGAAUACUAGCAUAUGCUUUCCUUUCUAUCCGGAAAGGAAUCAAGUGAUCAAGUCAGCUUCCUGUAAGAAAGAAAGAAAGUUCAAUUAGAUCCGUAAAGUCGCUUUAUAAUCAAUAGCCUACUUUUGAGAAUCCUAAUCUUCCUACAUGGAGCCGAGAAAACAGGUAAACCCAUCCUGCUCCAUCCCUUAUGCCAGCCUACAUGACUUCUCAAGAAUUGAAUGCUUCCCAUGGCAAUACUGUCCAGAUAAUAGGUUGCAGAGGAGAUAAGGGGAUCCAUCAGGCGAUAGAUAGCAUAUGUUUGUGUAAUAGUACCAUUUGUAAUAGGGCAUGUAUAUGGUUUUGAGUUAAGCACUUAGAGUUCCGGGAAUAAAGAAUAAUGAUUGGAUUUCUGUCCAUCGGGAGAAAGCUUAGGAAAAGAGGCAAUAGGCAAAAGGCAAGACAGCAGGAGAUCAUAGGGUUAUAAUCUAGCAGUUCGUUUUUAGGAGCGCUGUUUUCAUCCAACUACCCAAAUCGUAAGAGUUCCGCCACUUUGACGCCCAAAAGUGCCAUUUCUUUCUUAGUUGAACCAAUUUCCAAAAAGUAAAUACACCAGUUUGAGCUUGACACUUUAGGGUACAACAUCGAAAAAGUAAAUAAACCUCUAUUCUUCUUAUUAUUGUGAGCAUUAAACUAUCAAGAGUCAAAGCUGAAACAAGGCUAAUCGCAAAUCGUGAUGUCUUACUAGAUUCUAAUGGAUACAUACCCUUUGUCCCUCGCUUACUCGGUUGCCACUGUUCUCAAAUCAGUAGUUUCUGUGCGGAUAGAAAUUCCUCUUUGUUGACAGGCUACCCUCUAGAAACCUCACCCCAGGUAAACCGAACCGGGGAAUACCUUCCAUUUUACUUAAUCAGAGUUCCUUCUGUCUUCUGCCUCUCCAAUCAGAUCAACUGGCUUUCACUCCCAGAUUGGCUGCUUUCUUACUUAUUUUAUGCCAACUAAGACAUAUAUCCAAAAGGCAUUCAAGCCUACCCGGGAUGAACUCCCACUCUUCUUGUUUCUUUGUUCCGGUUUCUUUCUUUCAUGGAUUGACUAUUGGAUUAACUAUUCGUCAAGUACCUGAGCUCCUUACUUAUUUCUGUUUCUUUAUCCCUGCCACCAUUGUCUUUCCUGAUAGAAAUAGUUCCAAGCAGUUGCUUUUCUUUUGGAAUGCAUACGGAGAAGCUCACUUUAGUUGUAUAUGGUAUGGCCGCUAAGAAGCAUCAUCGGUCAGAUUGGAUCCAACUUAGUACGUAUGAUGGGUUGAUUUAAGGUCCCGGAUCGAUCACUUAUAGCAUUCAAAGCGGAUUCUAUUCCUCCCUGUUUUGUCAGUCCCACUUAGCACAACUAAAAGAUAAGAUUCUCCACAAGUAUAGUUUUCUAGGAGAGGCUUUCAGCACCUUACUUAUUUCCCUUAAAGGAGCCUACCGGAUAAAAGGCAAUAGGUCUACGAAACAGAAGAAAGGUAUAUAAAUGGAGAAGUUACGAAACAGAAGAAAGGUAUAUAAAUGGAGAAGUAUGGAUUUGACCUGCUAUGCUAAUAGGUGGCGCUAUCAAUAGGGGAGGCCUAUGCUUUGGACGUUCUAAAUAAGGUUCCGGAAAGCUUUACUGAUCCACGGAAGCAUCAUCGAUAAGAGGCAUAGGCUAGUAAUCGAGUGAAACAAUAAAUAGCGGAUUCUUGUAUGGAAGUCCCUAGUCGAUCUCUUCUAGCUGGACUGGCCUCUCUUUACCUCUGCUGAGACUGACUUCGCCCUUAGGGAAAUAUGCGAAAAAAGCAGUUUACUAGCCGCAUAAAGGCAAAGGAGCGAACAGCAUCUUUGGAGAGCUUAGAGCGUCAAGACAAGCCCCGACGUCGGAACUUCACUGAAAGAAAGCAUAGGCGGAAGCUUGAGCUGAUAUAUGCCCAGAGCUUAUUAUAUUCCUAAGUGAGACAUUGGGACACAUAAGUAGCUUAGCGGGAAGAAGCCUCAGUAUGGGGGCGGGCGUUUGAGGCAGAGGAAAAGGGGCUUCCCAUUCUUAGCGGAUUUUCUGAUGGGUGUAAACCUCUUAUCCUGAGAAAGCUUCUAUCUAAAGUGGUUUUUCGGGGGUAAGCUUCUGCUCUCUGUAGCUUACUUCACUUUCCUUACUUCUGUUUUUUCUCUUUCACUUAGAGUUUCGGUCAUGAGACAACCAAAACCCAUUGAAAUGGGCAAGUUUCUUUAAGGAAAUCAGGGGCCAUUUCUAGAUUUCGAUAAUAGGUGCCGGUGCCUAACGUAAUGACAUUCUCCCCCCUUCCAUUCCAUUCCUUCAUCACCUACUGCAGAGGUUUCAUAACCAGAGGCUACGGGAGCUAUUCGAUAGAAUGAAGUUUAUGAUCUAUCUUUUUCAUAGGGAUGAGGGAUUUCCUAAGGCUUAGGCCGGGAUGGAAAAACACUAUGUGGCAACUGAGCGAGGAAUCAAAUAUAGACUGGAAUCAGGUGCUUAUAAGCCUUAUACUGAUAACUAACUCUUCCCCUACUACCGGACAUUCCUUAUUUCCACCUAUUGACUUAGACCAACUAGUGCUAUUUAAACUAUGAGACUUAUAUCAACUAGUUCCAUUCUCUUUCUUUAUGUAAACAUAUCAAUCUGCCUUUCCUGUCCCUCGUUGCUGUUAGCCCACCCCUCUUUGCUUUAAGUCAGGUUUCCUGUCCCGUUACUCACGCCUAUGAGUCUUACUGUUGCUCUCCUCCCCUCUUAUUCUUGAGGAACAGAUCUAGCCUUACAUCGCUUGCUUCAAAACUGACACUACCAAGCUAACCACCCUCCCUUGCUACUAUACUCCUGAUUACAGGCCUUAUUCCUUUGUCUUAGUCUGAGAACUACUUGGUUGACUCUUCAGUUGCUUGUAUUCAUUCAGUUGACUUAUAUGUAUUAUGAAAUGUAUACUUUAUUUCACAGUAAAUAGUUGUUCUCUCAUCAGUUGUAGAUGCAUUGCCAGUUGCUUGUUCAAGUAUUAGAGAUGGUCACUCUAUUCCUUGUUUUUAGCCCAACUCUUCAUUAAAUGUUAGUAAAGCAAGGUCAGCGUCAGCUGCUGGGCUGGCAGUGAAAAAGAAUAAGAGUCAGGGAGGUGAGAAUGAGAUCGAGUAAUGGUAGACUAACCCCGGGAGUUAUGGAUUGAUUGAUUCCUGUCCCUCCGAGAAAGUAUUAGAAGCAUCAAUGAAAGUUUCAGAAAAAGUGAAGGAAGAACGAAACUAACAAGAAAAAGGCUCACAGGUAAGACUCAUAGGCCGGGGGCAGAGGCUAAGGUAUGGUAAAGCAAAGAUCUGGAUUAGGAGAUAUAGAACGAGUUCCGAGAGCUCAGGUCUUGUUUGCCCCGGUUCCUUUAUCGAAUGCCUAGUUAUUAGUUAAAGUACCAUACCUAUAUAUAGUUGUUAAAGCCCUGUGUUCUUUUUUGAAUCUCAUAUGCCCGGGUUCGAUUCUCAAAUAAGUCGUAGGUUGAUUCCCAAGUUAUAUUCUCUGUAUUGGUAGUGAAAGCCUAGCUCCCAGUUUUGAUUCCCAGGGAUUGACUUUUCUAGUGAAAAAGAGACCAACGUCUUGGGGCUAACGUGGGCGUGGGAUCCGCUCAACUACUUGUUUAGGUAAAUAUAGAAUGCCUUCCCCAGGUCAUUUUCUUAGGAGAAACUAUGCGCUUUUCAAAAAAAGGUCGGAAUAAAUCGGGUUGGUUUUCAAUAUAAUAGAAUAGAUAGAAUAUUUCAAUAUAAUAGAAUAGAUAGAAUAUGUUACUAUACCAGAUAGAAUAUGUUACUAUACCUGUAGAUAGAAUAUGUUACUAUACCGGCUUGAUGCAAAAAAAGACAAAACGGGAUUGUAUUUCCACUCAUAAGGAAUGAAGGUUAUCCACCUUUGGCAGGGUUGUAUUUUUGGUUCCAAUGGGAUGGUGUUCAAACUCCCCAAAUGCUGUCUAGACAGCCCCUUUCUGACUCGGCGAAGGGUAACUCUCCUCCGGAGCAUGCUUAACUGCAACUCAUUCGUCCUGACCAAAUUGUAGAAUCUAUCUCUCAGCGAUUCUUUUAUCAGCGAAUCACCACGCCCCGAUCGGCUAAUUCUCGGUUGCUUUAUCGAACAAAGCGGGAUAUCUCUAUUUUCCACCAUUACUGCAGGCGUCGACCAGCAAAGCGAUACGGCACUUACAUAAGAGCACGAAGAAAGAACGCUUACAUAAGAGUAUAUUACCAACCCACCCUUAUGUAGAACCUAUGAACAUGAGUAAAGCGCCUGGAUGCAUAAGGGAAGUGCACGUUUGUGAGACCUUUGUCGGGAUGCAUUAGGGGAGUAAACCUACGAGCACAGAAGAGCGUGGUACCGCUGCCCCUCUAUAAGUAUAAGGUAAUCUGCUUUUCUGAACCCAGCUCGCGCACCCAACAUAGACUUGGAUAUAAUAAACACAGCUUCAUAUCUUUAAACUGAGUCUGAUCCAUUUAAACGGAGUCUGCUCCUUCACUACAUUUCUUUAUCUCCUUCACUACCUUUCUAUCCUUCACUACAUUUCUCUAUUUCUAUAAUAGUUGCCCCGGCGCGCAUCGGUCAGGUCAACCUAGCUCCGGUCGGGACGGACGAUCCCUUAUUUCCAAUUGAGUGGGUGGGAAAGGAAAAACCAAAUGCUUGUCAUGCUAUUCAUUCCUACGGGGAAUCUUCCUUUGCAUUCAUUGAUUCCUUGGAUCAAGGACAUGGGAGGUGUCCGCCAAUUGAAAGUUCAAAGCCCCAGCAUAAUUCUUUGUUCCUUCCCAUUUGCAUCGUAUUGUCCAAGCUCAGAGAGUUGUUCAUUUUAGCCGAUUCUACAAGAUCUAUGGUACGAUUGAUAUCGAAUAUAGUUAACCCCCGUCCAGUCCAAUAGUCAAGGUUUUUCUGCCCCACAUGUGAAAGCCUAUUUAUGUUCCAAUCCGAUCGCUUCCGAACAUAUAUGUGUGGUGAACUGAGCCCCUAUGGACUACAAGGUUCUGGCUGGUCGGGCAGAUAAUGAGUCGCCAAUCCACAUUGGAUCGAUUGCUACUCUUGGAGAAUGGACAGAAAAAGGGUGCUGCUUCGAUUACAAGUAUACAGGGAUUCAAUGAGUGAGUUUUAAAGCAAAGGGAAAGCUGUGUUAGGUAUAGAAAGGAGUCAUAUUCCUACCUUAGAUACUCGGAUAUACAGAUAGAAAUGAGAAAUUCCAUGUAGCAAGCAAUUCUUCAAGUUAAGUUCGAGGAGGACUUGCAGCCGCUCGACGAAAGCUGGAAUCUCAAUUGAUAACUAGAGUAAUAGGAUUGAGCCGCGCGUUAGUCGUUUCCCUGACUUCACUUAAUAAUGAUUCCACAUACUCCUUUGACUUUUGAAUAGAUUACCGACUCCUGUAACUCACUUGAGAAUAGAAUUCCGCCUAGCCCCCGCCCUGUAGAGCCUUCACUUGUAGACUUAGAGAAAUAAGGUUGCUCCGGCCUGUACUUAAUGGAAUUGCCCUUGAGACUUAACCGACGGAGGAGUAUAGUAGGCAUUCGUUCUUAGUAUAAUAGUUGGGCAUAGGUGAUCUUAUAGAUGAAACAAGAACAGCAGCAUAGGUGAUCUUAUAGAUGAAACAAGAACAGCAUUAGCUUUAGAGGGAAUUUCUUCUUAUCCAGCUCCAUAUCCAUCUCGAAGUCAAUCGGGAAAAGAUCUUAGCGCAGAAGAGAAAGGUGACUUGGGGCUGCCUAUAGCUUCUCAAUAAUGGUAAAGUCGGGAGUCAGGCUUCUAUGAAUGUAGUAUAGAACUAGCUUAGCUUUAGCGCAAUGAAGUCACUUUAUUUAAGGUUAUUUAAGGGUUAGGGUUCGGGGCAGAAUAUCUUACCCGCAACUAAAACGAAAAAGGGAGAAUGGCAUCUAUCUCUAGCGCCUGUUCCGAGAUACCUUCCUGCUCCUUAUGAUGAUCCGUAUUCUUUACCUUUUUCCGAUAUGGCUACUGAUCUCAUAGACUUCACUGGCACUGCGGAUUCUGCUGUCGACAAAACCGGAAUAGAAACUUCUUCCAGUACAGAUGCGUUUGGGCUUACUUAAUGGUGCCCUUGCUUUUAGAUACUCCACUGAAGUACAAAGAGCACCAACGAUACAAUCACCUGAACACGGAAAGUCAGCUAGGCACCCCGAGUUGCUUGUUGUCGAGGAAAACAGUAAAACACAGAAUUCCAAUAAUACGUAUCGAGUACCAAUGAUAGAAUGAAGUAAACACAUACACAGAACAAGUAAUGUUUUCGAGAGCUAAGCCACUGAUUCAUUACUUUGAGAAUCGUUUGCUGUUGCUAUAUUCCUAUUCAAUCAAAAGCACUUUAUUCAGCCUCCUAACCCUCACCAGUUCUUUAGUAACCAGUUCUUUCUCACUCUCACAGUAACACCUGAUUUAGAGUGCUUUCCGAUCUCACUGCUGCUGACUUUAGAACUUCUCCUUGAAAGCUUAUGUAUAAAAGCCAUGGUCAAUUACCCUAAUAGCAAAUACACCUUUUGUCGUCUUGGCUGGUCAAAGGAAUCUAUCUCUUUUUAGAGCGGAGGCACAAGGAAUCUAUCUCUUUCUUGUCUUGCGCCGAGUAAAACACUGGAUAGGCAACCGCAUCUAUUAUUCUUAUAUAUUAAUUAUAGGAAUUGACACCCAUAGGAAAGGAUUGAAUUGACACACCGCCCCUCUGCCUGGCUAGGCAAAUGAUUCUGUUUCAGUACACCUCGCCGAAGAAACACUCUUUCUUUAGUAAUCUACCGCAAUUUAUGUAUAAGGGGGCUUAGUAUAGGUCUCAAUCUGGUCUUCCAGCUACCCGGCAACCCGAAACUCUACUUUCCAUCUUUAGCUUCUUAUCCCAAUAUAAGGAGAGGUGCUGAAAGCCUUGACUGAUAGCUUCUAAACUUACUACUAGAAAUCCUUUACUCCGCAACUGACUAUAGGGGCAGAAGAAGUUGAUACCUUACCUUAUCAGUUAGCAGAGAUGAGCUAGCAGGGUUCAAUGAGAAGAUACGAAGCUCGAGAUUGAUUUGAUACCAGAAUUAGGCUCUCUUCUCUUCUUGCCAGUCAAUACAGUCGGAUUAAAGUCAGAAUAGACCUCCCUCGCCUAAAGACCCGCUUGCUUGAUACCCUCGUUCGUAAACUACCCUUGAAGACCCGCUUGUAGUUGACUUUAGAACUAUUGAUUCUGUUUCAGGACUUAGCCCAUCAGCAUCAAAGAAAGAAUCAAGAUCUUCUACAGUAGCGCGUAUAAGAGUUGACCUCAUAAGAGUUUACCUCGCUCUCGAAUCUUAUGCCUCAGAUCCCGAAAACAGUGAGUCUUCAGUUGACAGGCAAGCGACUCUACUAGACAAGUGAACGCCUGAAUGAAGUCAAAUCACCUCUAUUUAUGACAAACAAGCACCUUUCCUUGCGCCAACAAACACGUAUUACUUGAGAACAGGCUAUACUUGAAUCAUCACUUCCCGCUGUGCUUACUUUCUCUCUACUGCUCCUAAGGUUAUGAGCAAGUACUGGGGAAACUCCACUCCAAUUCCCAUUAUGUUAUGAGAAAUUCUCUAUCUUGCCCUGCCCCCUUCCCUUUAGCACUUGUUAUUGCCCUUGCCGUCCCAGUAAGUGCUCCUUCUUGACCAACCCUAGCCCUGUAUGGGAAUGAAACUACCCUUAACAUCAAGUAAGCCAGGGUCAACUCAAACUAGGCGAACGAACAGAACAAAGUCGACUUAACUCUCACAAGAACAGGCAAUUCUACUAAGUAGUUCUAUCUCCGUCCCAUCACUAGUAGGGUUCAGCCACCUCAAUUCCUGUGCCCUUAAGUAAUUGGUUACGCGGCUGCUCUCCUUUGAUUCAAUCCGAUAGGCCCUUUUUCCCUAGUUUCUAUAGAUAGGAAAACACUAGUCAAAUACAUUAACAUUAAUCUAAGUAAACGGAAUACUUGACUUAAUUAAUAACAUCAAAUAUAGAAUGAAAGCAACGAGUGCUAGUUUUCAAGCAGAGAUAGGGAAUGCAGCUGACGAAUGGCAGACUACCUUGGUGCCCUCGACGAAAAGAAUAGAAGAGAAGACAGGAGAGUUGGACUAAAACAAUAGAAUAGGAAUACAUCCUAGCGAGCGCCAGUUUUCAACACUAAAGCAUAGGUCAUUGUAGACAUUGGCAGAGCGCAAGAGUGGAUGGGGAACCUUCGAGACAGAAGCGACAGAGUUAGAGUAACGAGUGGCAGGCGCAUGGUCAGUAGUUUGGUUCCCCGGUUCUUUUCUCGAUACGAUUAAGUAGCACUUGUAGAAUGAGAUAAAGAUGAGUAAGUAGCACUUGUAGAAUGAGAUAAAGCAAUCGAAUAAGAAAAGUAAGCUGCUACAGAACGAGUUCCGAGUAAGGCAUUAAAGGCAAUAGAGCAAAGAUCUGGAUCAGCAACUAAAGUCUCAUUAGGCGCUAGCGUAUUCUCUCAUUAUCCAGGGUAUCAGUCGUGGUAGCGCGUAUUGGUGUUAAUAGCAAAGAUCCGGGGAUCCCCUAGACAUUCUUAUACUAUAUGAGCUUAUACUAUUGAGCUUCUACUAUUUCGUUUUCUUCUUGACUCUUCUUGUUAGUAUUGGUAUGCUUGCCGGGGCGCUCCCUUAGUCUUGAAUCUCCAAAUCGAAUACUUUUAGUAAGGGGUGGUUUAAUGAGAUAAUGGAGUAGAAGAGCCAAACUCAUAAGUCAGACUUCAAACAAGGAGAGGCAGCUCCGUUACGUUAAAUAAAAGGAGAGGCAGCUCGGUCUGUUAGCGGCUUCUUAGUAAUUGCUUGUUCAGUGUAGAUUUCAUUUCAGAUCCACUACUUCUGAUGCAGAGCUACGAGCUACUGGAUCCACGAGAGAAUCAAUGAAUUCUUAAGCUUACAAUACAUAAACGAUAUCCUGACUUUCCUUUUGGAUUCUUCAAGAACUUAUGCCGUGUUGAGAGUUUCUCUCUUAUCUUAUACUUAUGGUUUUUAUACCGGUGCGUGAACGGGAGAUGUAAGAUUAGAUGCUGAUAUCAGUUAGUUAAGUCUAAGCUUAUGAGUUAAGGUAUGAGAAGCUGUAGUUCGAGUCUGUAGGGAAUUCCUAGUGAGUUGCCUUCACUCUAGAUUCUGUUCUUUCUUUCUUCCUUCUCCUCGAGUAGCCUGCCUUAUUAUCUUAUAUCUUAUAGGGCGAAUUUACGAAAUUCAAGAAAGCGAUAAUCUCCACUCCGCACCAUAUCUCUCUUGCUAUCCUGCACUGUGCCUGUUUUUUUCUAUACUAGUCAUUUAUCUCUCUUCGAAGAGCCAGACGACUUCUUCACUCCUACGCUAUGCUCCUCGGCUUUCUUUAAAGCCUUGUUACUCCCAGCAGUAAGCUUUGAAUUCAACUAGCCAAGCGGAGAUCAAUCCUUUGAAGGGAAUGAAUCCGCCCUUAUCUCUGAGUCGAGAAGGAUUUCCAUCGCUGACGAACAUGAAGCACAAAUCAAUUCCAGGAGAGGGAAAACCCUUCGAUAUAAGGAGUGAUACUAUACCAAUUAUCUAUGAAAGCCCGUGUUUUUGUCCGACCUUCUUCUUUCUAAAGGCAAGGCCAGCUACUUUUCCAGGAAAGAGGAGCCCACUCACUGUGGAAAAGAAUGCCUAUUCUCAUUUGACUCGCAUAGCUUAUGUCCUAUUGUGCUUAUCCCCUUGGCCUAGCCCUGCCAACGAUAGAAGUAUUCCGGUACUAAAAGGAGAAUUGGAUUCUUUAAGAGCUUUAUGCCUACGCCUAAUUCUUCACAGCACCGAAUCCGCCAACUGAUGUUGCUUCCCUUAACUAAAGCAUGGAACCUUACUUAAGAUUUCAGAAAGAACAUAUUAUCAUUGUGAGGAAAUCCGUUUCGACGACUGUCAAAUUCCCCCCCUAUUCCAGUCCAAACCUGCUGACGGAAUGCAAUGCUUAGAAAAGCAGCAGAUCCAUCUAGCAAGAAGAAAGGAUCCAGAGAGUGAAACAAUAGGAUCUACUCGCACUCAAUGGGAAGAAGGGCAAAGACAAGAUGUGGAAAUAACCUUUCGCAGGAAUGAUGCUCCUCACUUUGAAGGCACUCAAGCGAGCCCACAAUCAUUUCCGCCUCCAAUCUUAUAGGCAGCUUGUUUCGCUCAGAUACACGAUAGAUAGAUAGUCAAGCCGGUGAAGAAAGAGGGACUUCUGUCUCAAAUACGGAAUCCAAGACGGACUUCUUUCUAAGACGGAUUUCCUUCUAACAGACAGAGUAUAUCAAUUUCUCUAUAAUAUGGAAAUUACGAAUCAAUCCUUCUCAAUAGAUUGUCUAUAUUAAUUAGGGUUAAGGAAUGCGAUCUUUUCCUCUCUUUCGAAAGCUCUACUAUAAGAAAAGAGAAUCAAUCUAAUCCAAUAAGUAUGAAAAAAGCCUUUGGGAUUGCUGUAUAGCUCAGAAAGCUCCAUUCAAUAUCUCACUACUAUCGUCAUUAUGUAAGCUAGGCUCGAGGGCGCUCUCGGGACACCUUAUAUUCCCCUUCUGACUUUCGACAUACCAGCCAGUCUACCAGCCAGCCCUAGGCCUUGUGUGGUCCUUCAUUUGAAAGAGGUGCGCCUUAAAGAUCAAGAUAAUAGGUCGAUCAAUUCCUCUUUCCUACUUGCCUUGGAAGGGAUCUUUUCGCCUAUGAUAGCCUUUUGAAUAUGAGAUUAUCACAGGACAGGUCUUUCCUCCCCUAAGAAAGUGGCAGUACCUUAAAUAGAAGUGGGAAGAUUGCGGAAUCCAAGAAAGAACAGGGAAUUCCAUCUAGGUAACCUCGUCCUUUUCAAGCUCAUGCCUGAGCAGCCCGAUCUCUAAGAAUCAAAGAUAUGCGCAUAGUCAGAACGGAUGAAGGACCGCUACCCAUUACAACGAGGAUGACAACUUCCUACCAAUCCAAAAAAAGAAGACUGAUAAAGCGUGUACUACCUUCAUUUGAGAAAAGCCUUUACUACCUUCAUUUAAAGAGUCAGGUGCCCUAUAAGUCCUAGUNNNNNNNNNNNNNNNNNNNNNNNNNNNNNNNNNNNNNNNNNNNNNNNNNNNNNNNNNNNNNNNNNNNNNNNNNNNNNNNNNNNNNNNNNNNNNNNNNNNNNNNNNNNNNNNNNNNNNNNNNNNNNNNNNNNNNNNNNNNNNNNNNNNNNNNNNNNNNNNNNNNNNNNNNNNNNNNNNNNNNNNNNNNNNNNNNNNNNNNNNNNNNNNNNNNNNNNNNNNNNNNNNNNNNNNNNNNNNNNNNNNNNNNNNNNNNNNNNNNNNNNNNNNNNNNNNNNNNNNNNNNNNNNNNNNNNNNNNNNNNNNNNNNNNNNNNNNNNNNNNNNNNNNNNNNNNNNNNNNNNNNNNNNNNNNNNNNNNNNNNNNNNNNNNNNNNNNNNNNNNNNNNNNNNNNNNNNNNNNNNNNNNNNNNNNNNNNNNNNNNNNNNNNNNNNNNNNNNNNNNNNNNNNNNNNNNNNNNNNNNNNNNNNNNNNNNNNNNNNNNNNNNNNNNNNNNNNNNNNNNNNNNNNNNNNNNNNNNNNNNNNNNNNNNNNNNNNNNNNNNNNNNNNNNNNNNNNNNNNNNNNNNNNNNNNNNNNNNNNNNNNNNNNNNNNNNNNNNNNNNNNNNNNNNNNNNNNNNNNNNNNNNNNNNNNNNNNNNNNNNNNNNNNNNNNNNNNNNNNNNNNNNNNNNNNNNNNNNNNNNNNNNNNNNNNNNNNNNNNNNNNNNNNNNNNNNNNNNNNNNNNNNNNNNNNNNNNNNNNNNNNNNNNNNNNNNNNNNNNNNNNNNNNNNNNNNNNNNNNNNNNNNNNNNNNNNNNNNNNNNNNNNNNNNNNNNNNNNNNNNNNNNNNNNNNNNNNNNNNNNNNNNNNNNNNNNNNNNNNNNNNNNNNNNNNNNNNNNNNNNNNNNNNNNNNNNNNNNNNNNNNNNNNNNNNNNNNNNNNNNNNNNNNNNNNNNNNNNNNNNNNNNNNNNNNNNNNNNNNNNNNNNNAUCACGCUGUCCAGUAUACUAAAUGGUUCGUUCCAGUGCCAGUGAUAGAUUCGUUUCGAAAGAUCGUAUCGCGAGAUCGCUUUUUCUCAAUCUAGUAAUAGGGUCGAGAUGGAUUCCUUUCGUGGCUUGGGCUUUUCCUCUGACUUUGAUUGCUUUAUUGUGCUAAAGGCUUUGCCAUGUCAUUCCCUUUGAUUGCUAGUAAGAAGGUAAGUAGCUUCGCUUCCUUGUGGAUAGCAGCACUUCCUUCGCUUCCGGCUUCCGGGCUUCCCUUCGCCUUCGACGAUCUUGUUUUCUUCGCACCCUCUUUGCGACCUCAUCACUGAAAUGAAAGCUUUCCCUUGUUUCUAACCUGUUGAUUCUAUGUGGCUAAUCCAUUCCGGGCCAAGCUUAGUAGUUAGACCAAGUCACUAGGCGCUGCUAUGUGUUUGUCGUAGUUACUUGGCGCUCGCUACAAAAUGCAUUUAACAUGCCUGAAACUUAGCUAAAAGCCUAAGGUCUCUGUUUAAAAGCCUAUAAGGUCUCUGUUUCUGUCUUUCUUCAGCGCGGGUUUGAAGGUUCUCUUCAAGUCUUGUUCGGUGCUUGGUUUGAUUUACCUUUGUUGUGGCGGUAAGAGAAGAUGCGGGUAAAUACAAUAGAAAUCCCCAAUGUGCUACAUGCGCUAAAGGACUACCUUGAUUCCUUAAAAAGAACAGUUCAUUCCGCAGAAGAAACGGAAUCAUUAGCUAUGUAUGAUGGAAGGGGGUAACCAACCGGCGUGCUCUUUCUCUAAAGGCAGUUCGACACUUGACCAUUACUCUAUCCUAGGCAUAUAAAUAUUUCAUAAAAGGGUAUGCGUAAUGAGAUAACUCACAAACAAUGGAAAUUCUAUAAACUAAUGUAAUAUAAUAAGAGUCAGAGAAGUGUUGCCUUUAAGUCGUCAGCAGAAGAAGCUAAGGUAGAAAGUAUUGUUCCAAGUCCAGCUUUAGGCUAAAGGGCCGCUAGUGUUCGGCUAUUAUACCUAUUGAUACUAUACCAGAAUUCUUAUCCUCCUAUUGUACCUAUACCAGAAUUCUGAUCCUCUGUUUUCUACCUUACGGUUUCACAGGACCACUUCAGGACAUUCCCUAAGUCAAGAAAGUGAAGGCAACAAUCCAAUUGUCUAGUAUACGCUUGGCCCGUUGCUUGUUCAGUGCGGUAUCAAGGUUCAGUAUAAAGGAACGGUAGCGCUAAGUACUUUCUUCUAUCUAUAUAAAGCUUCAAGAAUGGAAUUGUAUAUAAAGCUUCAAGAAUGGAAUUGAAUGCACAUGGGUAUAGGUAUCGAAUUCUUUGUAACCAAAACACAGCACUUAACGUUCUGAAAAGAAUCUGAUAGACAACUAAACUAAUUGCGUAACCACACUCCUGAAUAGAAGAUUUAGGCACAGUUGCGUUGCUUGUUCUCUAAACGCUAGCUAUACAAUAGAAAAGAAUGGAAGAUUAAGGCACAGAGCACAGUUCCGUUGCCACAGUUCCGCUCCCGUUAGCUAGUUUCUUUAGCGCGUUAGGUUAGAGAGUUUCGAGUUACUUCAUCGGCAUUAGCGAGUUGACCUGACAGCGAUAGAUUCAAUAACAUUCUGAACUCCACUUCAAGUAGACUUUCAUCCUAUAAAUAUCGGACGGAAUUCUCAAUAAAGCUAGUGUCGGUGCUAGUGUUGCAGUAAUCAAAUCCGAGGGAAAGCUAGAAAGGUAUAAAGCAGGAUCUCCAUCUGUUCCAUUUCUAUUUCGAGUUGGCAAUCCUCUAGACUCCAUUCAGGUUUUCGGCUUACGGGAGUUCUGAGUUGAUUUCACUCGUUCUGCCAGAGUCGAAGAGAGAUAGGAACUCUCAGAUGCUUUACCGCCGCCCUAAGAGAAAUGAUGGCAGAGAGCGGACCCUCGUAAGUUCUGUGACAUAAAGAAGAAAAGGAAGCACCUCCUUUCUUUGCCUAUUGAAGCGUGGCAGCCAUCCAUCACCAUAUUAGUAAGAUAAGUAGAAUUACUUCUCUCAGAAGGAGAGGUAGAAUUGUAAAUAGGAGAUCCGGAGACCCAUCCUGAGAUUGGGACCGGCACUUCCAUUCGUUCUUGAUCCGGGUAAGGGGACGCCUUGGAGCAAAAAAAGGAUUAUUCUAUUGGAUCGAUAGCUGUAGGUUGAAGGGAGAUGCAUUCAAGAUAUAGUUUGAUUACUCCCUUCCCGAAAGAAAGAGCUAAACUUAGGGCGCUUGGUGCGUCUAAGGAUCGUAUAGGCGAAAAUGGCAGUCAACUGCGGCUUCUCUCAAGGUCUGAGUUCACAACUGGCUGUGGGAGUCGGAGAGAACCUGAUGCAAGCACGAGCAGGACCCUUCUAGAGAAAAGGAUAUACCCCAUAGGUCCAUUGCACAACAUAGCAACUCACGAGCAUAGUAAUCAAAUGCAAAAUGAGCUCGCCUCACUAACUCCGUGAAGCUAGCCCUCCUUCUCGCGCCCCCGUUUGCUGGAAGCGAUCCAUCUCUUCUCUUCUCCUUUAAAGCUAUUUGUACUAAACAGACACCUUUUAGAGUUUCAAGCUAUUUAUACUAAACAGACCUUUGAGAGCCAGGAGAAAGAUCCGAAUACGGAAUACCAAAACUCGAGGAAGAGGCCAAGGUUGCUUACGGGGAAGGGAAUCAUCAAGUCAAUUGUGGUGCCCCCCCGAUAGAAGAUUCGAUGAUAGUAAGGGUUUACUUCGGCUAAGGGUUAAGGUAAAUAAGAAAGGGCCAAGCUACUACUAGAGCAAGAAAGAAACUCCAUUCUUCGGUAGGGGUGGGCAAGGUCAGAAAGGUCGAUAGCUCUAAGUCUGCUCGGUAUUCCACUCCUCUCUGCUAACUUCAUUCUACUUAUCUACUUACCUAUGGCAACUGGCAACCAAUGAAUUCUUUCCUUGCCAACCGAAACUCUCACUGCGGACUGCUUUCCUGGCACUGCAUCUGAACCUUCACUUACUUCCCCAGUGAUUCAUUCUUUCUUUUUGGUUGGGGCACUAGGGUGAGUUACCGGAUUCUAUCAUGCCUAGUGAGGCUCCAAAAAACAUCUAUUGUAAUAAAAAGAGUGGAGCGGCCCUGCCGCGCAACGUUAGUAGUUGCUUGGCCUAUUAUUAUUGCUACCGCACAACGCGAGCACAUGUAUUGUAAUAACUUCGUUAUGGCUAUCACUUGGCUGACGCACAACAUUAGCAGUUGUUUGUCCCGUUGCUUGGUGCGUAACAUUAGUAGUUACUUGGCCCUCUUAUUCUUAAUAGGGUGAGUAGUGCGCCUAUUCGUUCUUAAGGAAGCUGGCAGGCGGGUCUGGUCUUCAAGUGAAGGUGUUUACUCUAAUUCCAGAGAGUUUGGAGCUGUACCCGGAUACUGAGAUGGAGAAGUUGGAGAGCCGGAUACGAAGAUAGAUAAGGAGUCUUUAUCUGUAGAUACGGAGAUGGAUAAGGAGUCUUUCUCUUUAGUGGGAGAUGGAUAAGAUACUGUUUCAAGAAAGGAGUAGAGAUCAGAAACUUGAGGAUCUGAGGCAGAAAGAGUGGAAUAAGGAUCUGGCUCUGUCAACAAAUACUUCCUCUCUUCUGGCUCUUUGAACUCAAACUCACUAUACAGGAGUAAGCCCGAAGUCCGUUACUAGUUAUGAAGUCAGUUAGUAGUAGUUAUGGAGUCCAGUGUACUAUAGUUAUGGGCAAGUCCCGUGUUUGGCCUCAGGGAAAGUAGUCUCAUUCUUUGCUUUGGUCAGCGAGCCCAGCCCUAUCGUUAACAGGAACCAGAGGCGGAGGCUAAGAAAAGAAGACAGAAACUGCCAAGACGACAAGAAACUAUGCCAUGUUUUAUAGGCUUGAAAUGCAUUCUUUCUCAUCUCCUUCUGUUUGAUAGAUAUAGAUAUAAAAGUAAGUCAGUGAUUUUCUUCCCUUUAUUUCUAAGCCAGCUUUCUUUCUAUUUAAGCCAAGCUACAACUAUUGAACUCACUCCUACUUAUACGAGAAUACAAAUCCUAUACUUAUACUAAUACUACUAUUUGGGGAUUUCACUACCCCUAAGAGAUUCCUACUACUUGUGUGUUGCCUUAGCCUUCGACUCUACCCUCUUUCGGUUAACCCUUAUUGUCUCCCCUGCCCAACUUUCCUCUGGCUACAAAUGUUGAUCAAGAGCACUUAGGUUGGUUCCUCGAUUCUUCACCCCCGGGCUGGCUAUCCGACCUAAACUCUCAAAUAAGAAAUAGAUUGCCUAGGAACGUUUCCUUGUGAACGAGUGAGUCUUAUCUUGACUAAAUUCAUUCUUUCUCUUAUGAAACUCCGAUAUCCUAGACCUCUGGCUCAUCUACCUGAGUCAACUAAUACUAACAGUGGAAUCGAACCUAGCAGAAGACUAACAAAGGGAAUACAUAUGUUAUAUCGGGAGUGGCUGGUCUACUAUUAGCAUUGGAGUUCCCGACCACUUCUAUUAUUAUUAUUAGAGUUAGGGUUAUACCACUAUAAAGUACAGGUUAUACCACGAGAACGUCAUUCUCAUUUUGCAGUUACAACAGCUCCAUCUAAGGCUGCCGCUACACUCUUUUGGUGCCGCUACGCUCUUUUGGGCCGGGGGACAACGGGAGAACCAACAUCAAUUCUUCGGGAGCAACUUAGGACUCCGUGGGUCUUGCUUGAUCUUCGGGGCCCGAAAACAACUCAACAGAAGUAGCCAUCGCAGCGGAAGCUGCCCUCGCUUCAAAGCAAGUAGAUAAUAGGAGUAGGUCUAGGAGCACUAGCAACAAGAAUAGGAGUAGGACAACAACCCCAACCUAGGCAUCAUUAUCAGAAUUGAGAUAUGCUCCAGCGCACGGAGAUUAAGAAGAAGUAGGCGCCCCGACGAAUUAAGCGAAAUAGUCCUCGCCCGAAGCCAGCCCUCCAAGCUGACAUCGCUUACUUGCAUUCCGUAGCUCCUUUACUUUAAUGCACCUUAGCCCGGCACUGCUUUAUCUAAUUCUGCAAUUAUGACUUUAGAGUUACGUUGCGCUAUCACUUAUUUACCGUAGGAGCUAGAAUCUGGAUAUACCCGGUGUUGCUUGCUUCCUCUAAGAACAAGUUGAGGCAGCCGAACUCUAUACACAUGGUCUCUGACUUUCUUCCUACUUGCCUACUUCCACUAAACCUUGCUUUAAAGCCGACACUACUUAUUUGUAUUCUUGCUUUGACUCUUGCUUUACUACCCCUUAGCCUUACGCUCUUAACUCUCAUUCUUAUAUUGCUUUGCUCUAGGCAUAAGAAGAACUAGAAGCUCCAUUAGCGGUAUGACAUGACGCACUACCUGAUAUACUCGAACUCGGGAAUCAAACUCGACAUAAGGACUGAACCAAAGAAAGGAAGGAGACUAAUACAAGUAUAUAGAACCACUCAUUUUAUUCAUCGAGGCACGGGCAACUGAGCGAGGGGCCGGUAGCUAAGGACUUAAGGUAAAGAGGAGCAGCUUUGAGGUAGGUGGUUGAUUUCCCUGCCUGUAAAGUGAAUCUUGUUGGACUGAGUCCAAUUCUUAUUAGCAAUAGUAUAAGGUUGAUUAUCAUUAGUUCAAGUUUAGGCCAGUAAAGCAAAGAUCGGGAUCAGUGGUUGGAGAGCGCGAGGCACUGUGUCAAGUAUGUUUGUAACCAGUUGCAUUAUGAGAAGUAGCAGCCGAUCCCCUAGUUAUUAGUCAAGAUAUUGGUAGCCCAGGUUCGGUUCUUAGAGUGACUCGUAGACAUUCACUUUUCCUGGGAGUUGGAAAAGAAAGAGUUGGCGGGUCUCAGGCUCAUAAUAUCUUACGAGCAAGGUAUACUGAUGACUUAUCUCAAAGAGUGAGAGUCAAGUAUAGUGGAAUAAUAGAAUAUAUUGGCAGUAAGGCGAUAACCCUGCAAUCAAGGGCGCAACAAAAGAGCAUAGGUAUUUCAGUUUCAGAGGUAGUCCUUUCUUCAUCGUUGCUUUGAUGCCCUAUCCCGACUAAAUGAAUUCCCACAAAGGUUCUAAUUGAACAAGUAAGUAUAAGAUAAUUGACUAAGUAAGUAUUUUCAUAAGAUAAGUGACUCAGUAAGUAUUCGAAAUAGUAUAAGAUAAGAAAGUCAGGAGUCAGGGGUGAGUUUACUUGAAUGAAGUCAGGAGUCAGGGGUGAGUUUACUUGAAUGAAAGCAGUCAGCAUAAGAAGGAUUAGAAGCUGGAUCCGUAUCUGCAGCAGCAAACUCGAAUUUCAGGAUUUCCCUUACUACGAGAUAAUUACCAUAUUGUUCUGCUGGAGCUCGCUGUAGCUACUAGUCUAGGGGAUAGGUGUGAGUGCGAGUGCCCACUACACGCUAAAGAAUGAAGUCAGGGUUGAAAGCUUUUUAUUGUAUAAAGUUCCGCCAAGUAAACAAGCAGACUAGUAAGUCAGUAUUAGAAUAAGCCAAGAGGAUACAGGCCAUAAUACAUAACUUGCUAGCGAGGUACCUGGAAGAAAUAAGGGACAUAAUAAAUAAUUGCCAGCACAUUCUAAGAAAUAGUAUAAUAGAAAUAAGGCCAUAAUAAACAAUUGCUCACGCAUCUAGUAUAAGGCAAGUAAGUAAGUAAGUAUAAGACUCAAAGAGACAGGGCCCAGCAACUAACUACUAGUUUCAUCCCGAGUUCAAUCUGUAGCAACCACUAGGUAGGUCAGGGAAUGGAAUAUCUCUAAACUUCCAAGCUACGUAUACAAAGGCAAAGAGCGGUCACUAAACUACUUGUCCAAAAAGCAACUACUAAACGGAUUCUCGAACAACAGCAUCGAUUCGGCUUGCAACCUACUUUAGCCUGUUCCUUGAUACCGCGCUGCUUCUAUAUACUAAACCACUUCUUUACAUACUUUCAUAACAACUUGCGUGUACGACGGCUUAUUCUUAUUGACUAGACCGAGCUAGCAAACUCUAGCUUCAAAUAGGAGCACUCCAUUCUAGUAAGAAAGCAAACCAGCAAAUUUCUAUAUUGUGAGUAAACAGUGAAGAGCCAGCAGUCAUAGACAAAGGCAGCAAGGAAGAGAAGAGCACAGCACCACGUUUACAACCCGGAGACAAAGUAAGCAAGCAUAGAGUCAAAUUGGCUUUCAGCACCUUCUUAUAGAAUAGAUACAACUCAAAGAAUAAACAAACGGGUAGCUAGAUGAAAAAACAGUAUUAGCUGGCAAGGUCGACAUAUUUACACCCCUCCACUCGAAAGUUAUUAUGGAAUUAUUCGAAGUAAGCUAACGGAGCUACGCCUUGAUACCGCACUGCUUAACUGCAGAAAAUCAUUGAAACAGGAACAGGCAAUUAAGAAGCUUCUCGCAUUAACCUAGCAGUAGGGCAGUCAAGGAAAACAGUCAAAUCACCACUACCGAGAGAGUCUUUCUGAAACUCCACUCGAUAAGCUAAGGCACUUUGGCGAACUCAACUCAACCUCCGCUGUAUAGAUUCCAAUUCUGUCUUCUCUUUCCAUAGGAGAAAAGUGUACUUUCAAAGCUUCUUCUGCUAACUAACCCAUGAGACUAUCGAGGUACCUAACCUCUUUAUAUCUGUCUUUUCUUUUGCUUCCAGACUCACUACCACUUAUCUUAUUGCUGGCUCUUUUGCUUCCAGACUCACUACCACUUAUCUUAUUGCAGUGAAUAUGCACAUCGUAUGAUAUAAGUAAGUUACUUCCCUGCUGACACACCUAUGACUCUCGGUGCACGUGCUGCUUCAAAUCUAACAACCUAACGGACCCGAGAAGUAAGCUUACGCGAGUUAAUGUUGAGUUGCUUGUUGAAUGGAAUCUAUCUCUCCUAAUGUAGAAUGGAGUAAACAAACUUAAUAAGAGUAUUUGAUAGUGCACCUUAUAAGAUAUAAUUGAUUAACCUAGCACACUACCACUUCUUUGCUAGUUCCCUUGCUUUGAAUGUGAAAAAGAAGGAAUUGGACUUCACUCCUAGCACGCACGCACCCCGAGUUGCCUUCUUUCCCUUCUUUCGCACCACUCAUUAAAGCGGAGCACGAUAAGCCUUAGCACCCGGGGGAAACCAAUUCAAUUCAAUCUAAUUCACCUCAUCAUACAAUUGAGUAACAACACUACUGACUGCAACAAGCAAAAGAAACUCUGUUAGCGGGAUCGUAUAGAAACUGACAGGUAAUAUUCCGUUUUCUAUACUUUUAUAAACUCCUUUAGCUUAGCUUGAAAUAUGAAGUUGUCAAGGAAAACAAACAGUCAAAUCAGGUAAUUUCAUCUUACCUUUCCACACCAGAGGAUAGGUCAAUACCUGAGGAUAGCCUUGAAUAGCAGCUUACUUGAGAACUGACUGAUCCAGCGGAUUCUCUUUCCUCCCGGGCCUACCUCUGUUGGAGAGUCAACCGGUAUUCUAUAUUUGUUGCACUUAAUCAUUGGGCUGGGUGUUAGAGAUGCAAAUGGUAUAUAUAAGGAUAUAGAAGGGCAAGUCUCUUUCUGUUCUUGAGCAAGUAAAGAAGCUAGUUCAAAGGCAAAGGAUGCCCCUUAUAGUACUAGAUCAAGAAAGAAUGGAAUAGAAUUAUUUGACAGAGGGGAGCCAGUAGUUGGCGAUAGGGUAGUUGACUUCCUUCAAUUGACUAGUUGAAGACCUGAUUGAUAGUAGCUAGUGGAAUGAUUUGCCUACGGAGUUCAAUUCAGUAUUAGUAGCAAUAGGUGUAUACGAGUAGUCCAGAUCGAUACCUCUUCUUUCUAUCUUACCUACUUGUGAGUGCAAUUCCUUAUCUGUUGCCAGCAGGGUUCAAUGAUUUGUUCUUACAGUUUAGAGGCAAGGUAAGCAGUUCCGUCAGAAGGAGAGGUCGGGGAAGACUAAGUGGAGAUAGGUUCUUGGCAGAUAAGUUAUUGGCGAUUGACUGUAUACGAGAUCUGAAGCCAAAGAAGAAGAUGGAAAGUAGAGUGAGACUAGUUGUAGCUUGUCUUAACGCAAAGUGGGUGUUUCACCUAUCCCUAAUAGGUGUGAGUCAUGUACAAGUCCUGUGUUCCUAGCGUGUUGCGCGUUAGCGAGUUCUGCUCAAACAAAGAGACGAAAUCCUUUGUUGACUUCAUACAGUGCUGUUUUCUAGGGCAAGAAGGUAGUAAGGGAAAGAAGAAAGUCAAGGUUGGUUGGUACAGGAAUAUCAGAUGUUUCCGCUUCAUAGCUUAAGUCUGCAGCAAGUGGUUUUUCAAGUGUUGAGUCAGGAGAGGAAUAGGGGUCUUCAGCGGGAAGGGCAAAGCUUAGUAGUUAGCUAAGGAGCCCCCCGGUCGGGGCAGAAGAUGUUGUAGCGGUAGGGAAGGGGGAGUUGGUUGGCCCAGUGCAACUAAUACAAAAGUGAGGCCAGUAGGCUCAGGAAUGGAUUUUAGCACAGAAGUAAGUUAUUCGGAUUGCUUAGUCUCUCCAUAAGAACUAUCCAGAAGUCAAACAUGCAUUUCUUAUCUUGUACUGAAGUGACAACAUUAGCUACAUCUUUCGAUCGGUGAGGAAAACAGUAAUGGAAUCCUUUGUCUCGAGCACCCGCAAUAGAAUAAGAUAGUCAAGACACUGCCAUUAACUUAAGGGCUGCUUCUUCGGGAGCUCCAUUCUAAUCUUUCUCAUCUUCUUUAUAAAUGAGAACUGAUGAAACAAGAACCAUUAACUUAAGCGCUAGACUACUAGACUUAACGAGCACUAUAAGUUAUUCUCAGCCCCGACCCCUACACCGACUUGCGCACUGCAUCUAGACCGACAACAAAGGGAAAGCUAAUCAAUCACCUAUCUUUAGCCACCGAGUCUGGGCCCGCUCUUUACUACAGAUACGACUUCCCCACUUGCUUACUCAGUUUCAUUCUUAGUUUACAGUGACUGCGCUAGCAAGUUCUGUAUUCUGGCCAGAUGAAUAUCUUAUACUAUUACUAUCAAUGCGGUACCCUUAUACCGAACCCACCUAUCCUCGGGCUACAAAUCAUGGAUUCUUUCUUUCCUUAAUAAGAAUAGAGUUGACUUAUGUCUUUCAAACCUAGUGGUGCUAGUACUUUUUCUCUCGUAGCCAACACUGUAAACUCUCCUUUCUGAACCUCAGUAGAGUUAUUACCAAGUCUAGUGUUUUAGGGCAUCAAAGGCAGUACCAUAUCCAGCUUCUUGUUGACAGCCCCUUUAAGUAGUGGUCCAGUAAUUCUAAGUAGAACUUCCCGAUCUAGCACAUUCAGGGAUUGUAACGCGAAUGGAUACUAUACUCUAGAACAAAGGACUUGCUCAUAAAAGGACUUCCACUCAAAAGGCAGAAUGAAACUCACCAGAGAAAGUACCAAUUACCUUAAGGAUAAUCGAUACCUAAACUCAUAGACGAGCCGCAGCAAAGGCCUUACUAUGGUACAGGUAGAUCAGCAACAGCAAUUAGUUAAGUCUCAAGGAAAGGACUCUAAAGGUUGCCAGCUUUCAUUCAGUAAAGGGAGACUAAGCGGUCUUCUGAAACUACACUUUCUACUUUGCCUCGAACUACACUUUCAGAUUACCCGCUUGCAGCUUCAGAUCCUGCUUCCAAUCUAGUUUCUCAUCCAGCUUUAUAUCUGUCUUCUGUUGGGCCUGUGCCUGGCAAUACUGUUCGAAUAGAACCUAGCUCAUGAUUCUUUUUCUUACCUAAGCCAACAACUGUAAUGGAACUUGCGCCUUGUCAAACUCGUGAUUGAACUUGAAAACGCUGAAGCUCUUGCAGACAAUACCCGAACUGAACUUUCCUAUGGCAGCUAACAGACUUGAAACAGAAUGUUCGGAAAGGGGAAGUUAAGAGCAGAGCAAAGAUUUGAUCCAGCAGUAGAUUCAGCAUCAGCAGCUGCUAUUGGGUAAUCCUAAAGUAGAGAGAGACUAAUCCGACUAAUACAAAGAAUAAGGGAUGUCGACCGAAGCGAAGACAGAGUUGCUGGACCACAUAGUCAGAGAAGAAUUCGAAUAUCAGAAUAGAAUAAUUGGUUCCAAAGCAAGAGUCAAUGAGUAGGGUGGUUCCUCUAUUUAUACGAGCAAGAGAGUUGGGCGGUUCCUCUAUUGAUACAGGCAAGGAGCCUAUGCUAUUGAUACAGGCAAUAUAGGUAAUAUAGUCGUAGUGGGGUAGUUUUUCUAUUUCGAUUUAUAUAAGCAAGAGCGCUACCUAUGCUAUUGAUACAACAUAUGGUAGGGUAGUGGACUGACUUGUGGAAUUCUUUCCUCUCCUAUGGCUCUCAUCUCAUCUCACUCAGGCUCAUCCACCGGGGAGUAAACUCAUACUUAUUUUCUUUCUAUUUCCACUGGAACCCUCUUUUCCUUGGUUGCUCACCUCGACUCUGGCUUCUCAAACUUCAUUCUUAUCUUAGUGGGUGUAAUAGGCGUCUACCGGUAAAUAAGGGUAGUUAAGAAGAGUUGGUUUCCAGACCCUGAAACUAGUAUACGAGUAGUUAAGAGCGAGUCCUGUUCAUGAAGGUAUAAAACUACAGAUCUCCAGUCUUGUAUAGGUGUGGGAAGGGCCAAGCAUAUACUAGACAAGUGGAACUCCUAAUUAUGGUACCAGUGUAGUGUACAAAUUGUGGUAAGUAAACUCUAUUCUUAAAGGAAGGAGUUAAGGAAACUACAACUAAUGGGGAAAGAAUGAAUUACUGCCCUUAUUUACAGCAACUCCGAUAUGUCGACCUCCGGAACUAAUUAAUACGCUAAACUUCUUGCCCCGCUCUAGCUCAUAGUAUAGUUACCGUAGCCUCUUUUCCAGUGUUACUUCUUUGCUAAAUCCUCUUGUCCGCGUGUCUGCUCCUUUCCUGUUUCCUGGUACUGCUUACAGCCUUCCUUCAAAUUCCAUAAAUCAUUCAACUAAAGGGUACGGGUACUACUAGAAUUAAUGUUUCUCAUACAAAUACCGGUCUUCUACCCGACGAGGGCCAUUCUACUGCUAGACCUGCCCGUUAAACCCUUACUUAUUCUUACUGGUUCCCUUGAAAGCUUUGGAGAGAAAAACAGGUCUACUUGCCCGCCUUAGAAAGGAUACUAAUACUGUAUACUUCGGAAGAUUUUGCAUAGUGUUUUUCCCUUUGCCAGAGAAAGAUACGUAGUUGUUUGUCGACUUGCCCUGUUGCUUGGCGCGUGGAAUGAAUCCCUUUCUGAAUCCUAUCCACCUUGUUGAAUCAGGAGAGGCAGGCUAACGACGGGAACCAAGGGAUGGAUUGGGGAAUGAGAAACUGUAGUUUGAGUUCAAAGGCAAGAUAUAGGUCUGUUCUGUUAUGUUAGGUUUAGAGUGAGUAACGCCCGCCAGGCUAAUAGCUUUUAGUCGCAUUCUUGUUAUCGUUAGUUCAAUCUGCUAGUUAGUAGCGAGAGUCUAAUUGGAUAGUAGUUCAUUCCUAGUUUCAAGUUCAAGUCUCAUUGGCAGUAGUAGGAUCGCUACUUUAUGAGCUUAAUGUGAAGUCAGUGGUAGCAGCCUAUAUGUAGUAGUUGACUCCCGAGUGACGAAUGCCAGUAUUAUAAGUAGGAGAGGUGGGCUAGGGAAGAACGGAGUUGAUUCUGUAACUACCGGGGCUCAGUCUCGCUGGCACUGGGUUAAGCUUUGGAUGCACUGAUUUAAGCCUUGGAUUCGUUGUUAUUGGUUUGGUUCUGUGAUGAGUUGGUUUCAGGCUAGUUGGGGCAGUAGUUAAGCCUUGGAAGCACUGCUUUGAUUCCUUGUAUCGGUGGUUGCAUUCUGAUUCUUAUACUUACUGGUUGAUUUCUCACUUUCUCCUCCGCAUGCCGAUACUGUUACUACAAGGAAAAGAGGGUUCCCUUGGCCCUGUUUCAGCCCUAGUGUCUUGGCCAUUUCUGUUCUUUUCUUCCUUUUAUUCUACCCUAAAAGAUGGAUCGUAGUGAUGCGGUAAAUAAGAGACCCAUAAGUCCUAUCAUCCUUACCCAUAAGUCCUAUCAUCCUAUAGAAAGAGAAAGCACGACAACAAAAACAUAGGCCAAGCAACGACUAGUAGCAUUAGGUUCAUACCGACCCGACUUCUUCAACACCCGGUUCCUGAGGUCAAUUCUGAUCGGUACUGCUUUCAUUCUUUCACUCCAACUGGCAACUACUCAUGUAUAGCGUUAGCCCGGUGAGCUUAGGUCAAUUCUGUAUACGUGGAGACAGGGCUUAGGCUUCUACUUACUAUAUGAAUUCUUUGACUAAUGAGUCUACUUACUAUAUGAAUUCUUUGACUAAUGAGUUUGAUUCCGAGUCUACCCGGUUGCAUUCUGACUAGCUCCUACGAACCACUAGACCAGCUGGACAUAGCAUCAGAAAUGAGAAUAAGGUUCCCACUAGCUCCACCAACUUACUAAAAGGGCCUAUACUAUUAGUUGUGACUUGGCCCCUGACUUGAUCAUUGGAGAAUGAAUAUCUGAGUGUUAGGAUCGGAGUGGGAAGAGCUCGUUUACUGGUUGAAGGCUUGCACUCCUUAGUUUGAUUCUGAGGUAAGCUUAGUUGGAUUCUAUAGCUACCAGUUCCAUGCCACUAACAUCUGGUUGAAGUCUGAGUACCUAGAGGUCUCCUCCGAGCCUACCCGGUUGAAGUCUUUGAUGCACAGGUUUCAGGCUUGUUAGUGAAGUCUUACUAGCACUGAUUUAAGUCUGGUUCCUCCCGAUACUGUUCCAUUCUUCCAUUCCUUAUUCCUAGCCGUGGUAGUCCAUUCUUACACUCUCUUGUUGAAGUCUUGGAAGCAGUCAUCCUAUAUAAGGAUAAUCUAUCAUUUAGUAAGGGUUUCUCUACUGUGUGUCUACUUAGUGGGUGUAGUGGAAAUCCAAGUAGUCUUUCUCUAGAAUGAAGUAAUUAUGCCAGUGUUAAGUCGACUCCCCACUCCUGAAAUGCUGUAUUCCGGGGGUUGAUACCAUAAUUAUUCCCAUCCCUGAAAUGAAGUAUGUAGGGUUUGAUACCCGAAUUCUUCCUACUUCUGUUCGAUUUCUAUCUUCAUUAUUCCCAUUCCUGUUCGAUAGCCUGUUCGAUAGGUUGAUACCAGAAUGAUUCCCACUCCUUCCAUUCCGUAUGUAGGGGUCGAUACCACUCCUGAAAUGAAGUAUUCCGGGUUGAUACCUUAGAACUGAAAUGGAUUCAAUUCAAUAGCUUUUCUCUAUCCUAAGCCCUCUUCUCUUGAUUGAAAAAAGGAGGAAAAUUCCCUUUUUGGUUGCAGAUGUCUCUGUCGGGAUUCACUUACCAGAGAACUCCUGCCGCGCAACGUUAGUAGUUGCUUGCCCGGGUUUCGCUUACUAUUUAGGAGUGAAAUGUUCAAAACAGGGUGUCGGGAUUCACUUACUUUUUUGUCGUGGUUCGCUUACCUUUUUAAUGAGUAAUCUUCUGGUUUUUUUAUGAUUUCUAAUUGAUCGUUUUCCAAGGAACUACUAAUGUGUAGCGGCAGUUCGGAGAUAGAUUUGUUCUAUGCUUAACACAAGCACCCGAGCCCACUUCAGUACUUAUAGCUCCCGCUCCUUAAGCUAGUGUUCGGCUACUAGACCUCUCCUCUUGCUCAUCUCUUCUAACUGACCUAGCCCAGUAACAGACUGAGGGGAAUUAAUACCAAUACCAGUAGCUCACCAACCUGUUCCAUUCUUAGUUUAGUUAGCUCUAUUCUCGGCCUUGGUGGUACUGAUUUGAUUCUUGUCUGAGUGACUUAGGGCUCCUUUUCAUUCUUCCUUUCCUACUUUCUUGUUGAAGACCUAGUUUCAUAAGUUCACCUAUAUAAGAAGAGAGAUUUGGAUAGUGCUUUUUGCUAAUGUUUGUGUACUGAGUUUGUAUAUGAUAAAGAUGAGUAGUCUUUCAGUGAAUUCAGUGAUUCUUAAGGUGUUCAGUAAACUCUCUUUCCAUUCUUAUUGUCUUCAACUUACAAUAAGGGCCCGACCUCAGUUAGAGAUUACUUUACUAGCUGCCUCGCCUCUGGUAAAGCACCGAACCAGCCUAUCCUCUUGCAACUAGCUAAUCUAUUACCUAUCCCUCUGAUCUUGCUCUUGAAACUAACCAUACUCUGGCAACAACUACUGAUGAAACCGGACCACCACUAAUAAGAAUUCCACUCCUCCUCUCUGGCUUCGAUACCUCUGUAAACUAACCACUCCAUUCCUUAGUAUAGGACCGAUAUCUCUUGCUCCAAAGAAGCUCUUAACUACUCUACAACUACAGGCUCGGCUCACCUCUUAGUUGCAUUCUUUUACUCAUGGGUUUAACUCUAACUCCUCGUGUUACUGUCUCAUUCUGUGACUACUCAGUGGUAUUCCUUUCUUAGUACUAUAGCUGCUACUAAAAGACUGACUUCAACAACUACCCACAAAAUAAGUAAACAAGAUCUGUGCAGGAACCAGAAAGUAAGUAAACAAGAUCAGUGCAGUUCACCCCCGGUAUUUUGGAUAGCUUCGUGGGUGGUUGUCUCUUCUACUUACUUGUUUUCUUCCUUGACUCUAUUAAUUAGUAUAGUCUCCGCUUGCCUCAGUUGCUUAGGAGGAUAUAAAGAUGUUAGGUUCAAAUGAGCUAUUUCAACACUGUAGUCCAGGUAGUCCUGUGAGAGUGAGAGUUGCACAGACCUGAGAAGGAUAUUAAUAAGAAACAGGAACCAGCAAUAAUGGGCUAAAUAAGGACUCCCGCCAAGCUUAGACUAGUGUGUAGCGGCAGUCCCUUCUGUUUUCUUAUAUGAAAUUAGACUAUGUUUUCCCUACUAUGUCUGUACUGAAUAGAUACAUAAGAAAUUGUACGACUUUUCUUGAUUAUUUGUGAUUUGAUAAAUUGAUUCAUUUGAUUCCAAGUCAGUAAACUACCCGACCCGGCCUAUCUUUCUGAUCCUGGCUCAGAUCCAGCUACUGUUCCUGUUCGAUAGUUUUCUACCAGAAUUCUUAUCCUCUGCUUUCUACCGGAAUUCUUAUCCUCUGUUUUAUACCUUCCCUUCCAAUGAAACUAGUCAGUAAAGGAAUGUAACAAAAGCACUCCUGGCUCGGCUCGCGUUCCAUUCUGUAAUUCCAAUAGUUAGUACUAGAUGCGGAGAAUAGAUACCCUUAUUACUAGACAAACUACCCGAGCCUCAAACAAAGCCGAUACUUCUCUCUCCUCUUGCUACAACUCCCUAGUAAUUCACUCCUCUUGCUACUACUCCCUAGUCAUUAACUCCUCUGUCAUUCACUCCCCCGUUUAAGCCUUAGAUGCACUGGUUUGAUUCUUGUAUCUCGGGGGCAGUAGUCAAUUGUUGUUAUCGUUGGUCCAAUCCCCAGUCUCGAGUUAAAGCUAGGUCAGUGCCAGGUUGAAAGUCAAGAGUAGGUUUUAUGCCUAGGAUCUCGUAUCACCAGACAAGCCGACAAGACACGUAUAAUGUUUAUUACACGUAUAGAAAGUUUUCAGUAACCAAACACUAUUACUUUGAGCUACAUCCAGCCCACUAGUUGUUUGAUUAAUGACACCAGCUGCCCUUCUAUGAUUAGAUUAGAGCCCAGAAAAAGAAUUCUUGAUUGAAACAAUGAGCCUGCCAUUACAAAAACGGAGACUUGCUUUACUGUUUCCCAGACCCGGAAACCGCCGCCACUAAGAAUUGAGCCACUAACCGAUAAGAAGAAAACCAUCAAAUAGGGAUUUGACUCAUCAGUAGCAUAAUCAAACAUGUCAUAAGGUAUUCAACUUAUAGUAGUAGUAUCGGGAUUGUAUCGGGAUAAGGCUAAUAAGUAGGCAUCAAACUCAUAAGUAGGCAUUUUACUCAGUAGCCUAAGAAGAAACCGAAGAAGUAAUAAUGAAGUAGCGAAUACGCAAAUUAAGCUAACAAUAAAAGGUAGUAAAUAAAGAAUGCAGCUGCUCUCCACAACUACUGCUUUUAAUAACCCACCUAGGAAUAAAGAAGAAAACUAGUGCUGCUAACAAGGACUAAACUCUAACCUAUGAAUUGAACUCACACCUAGGAAUAAGUCAUUUCAGAAGUUCACUCAAAAGGGAGGAAGGAAGAAGUCCCCUAUUAAUUCAGAAUUGAUGCUUACCAUACUAGGGCUAACAAAGCGACUAACACGACUUCAACUAUCAACUAAUGAGCAAAAGACUAAAACACAUGAAACCGGGAUUCACCAACUACAGAUGAAACUAGGGAUUCAACCAGAACAGGAACAGGAGAAGGAUCGGCUCUGUUAACUAUGAACUGAUUUCGCCUCUCUCUCCUCUUGCUACUGACACAAGGGAAAGGGACUGCCGCGUAACACGAAAACAUAGAAAGUAAGAGAACAAACAAAACAACGGUUUAUGUUGUUUUUCUUAUUGUAGUUGUGCUCGAGUUACUUGGCCGGUAUUCAACAACAAUUAGACUUCCACCUAUAUGCUCUUUUGAAACAGGACCACUCUACUACUGGUAUUCAACUCUUCCUCGACCUGGCACUGGUGAUUCUCUUUCUGACCUUGCUUCUAGUAAACCAACUUCCCCGGCUUCCUCUCUUGUUGGUAACUCCACUUCUUGUCCCGAGCCCUGGUGCAUUGAUGGACCACUCAUUAAUUAGAUCUUUUUAUAGGAUUCCAUUUAUGAUUCAACUUGACCAGAAGGAAAGUCCACUCUUAUGAAGCUAGCUCGCACCCCGCCGAGUCACUACUACAGUUUGAUACCAGAAUUAGGCUCAUCCCUCUCCCUCUCUCUACCGACGUCAAAAGCAAAUAACGGAACAAGACUUUCACCUUCAUUGCCCGGACUGCCGCGUCACUCGCAACCCCAAUAGGCUAAACUCAGUACUUACAGCAAUUGACUUAAGGGCAAGAGCAGGUACCUCGCCUCUACUCUGUCAACAAAUACUGGCUCAGUCACUCAACCAAUGCUAUGAACAAGUCUAGCUUCUGUACUUUCUGACUGGAACAGGGCAUUCUCCUUCUUACCUUCCCGACCCGACCUCUACUGUUACUACGGAAAAGAAUGGAAUUGCCGACCUAGACUCUGUAAACAAAUACUUAUUGAAACAAGCAAGCCCAUAAGUUACAGGGGAGCUACACUCAGAAUUCCACUAGUAAGUAAAAGAGACUAGCUACUACUACUGAUUCCACUACUCGUAUACUAGUUGGGGCAAUCACUUAACUUGAAACUGAACCUCGCCCUGGAACUGGCAAUUCUCCAGUGGUCACUACCCUAACAAGCAAGUAAGUCAACCUGCCUACCCAUGCCUAUGAAGUUUAAGUGCAGAACCAACUAUCAACUACUAUUGGAAACAACUACCAUUGAAGUCACAGUAUAAAGCCCCUUCCGCUCACUACCGCUAUAAAGACAGGACUCGAAGUUAAGUCCGUAAGGAUAGAGAGGGUGCGGAAUCUCUUGGGGGGCGAGUGGAGUCUAGUAUAGUAGUACUUAAUUGUCUAGGAAAGUUUCACUAAAGAACCAUAGGUAUAAGAGAAUGGAAUUGACUACUAACAAGAAUGGAAUUGCCUACUAUGGCGCUAUACAAGAGUGUACCCUAGUAUAAGAACGAGUUGACCCUUACCCUAGUAUAAGAACGAACCUAGUAUAAGAACGAGUUGACCCUUACCCUAGUAUAAGAACGAACGAGUGUACCCUAAGUAGAAGAACCAAUUAUUUGAACGGGUUGUCCAUAAGGAGUCACCCUUUAGGAGAUGCACACUAGCGCCUUUAAGUAGUUACUGUAACUAAACUCAUUCAUAUACUUACUUGUCUUAUACUAUCUUAUACUUACUUGUCUUAGUAGUCCCCUAUUCUUAUACUUCUUUCACUAGAUCGUACCUUAUUUCUAUAUUCCUUAGCAGUUAUCAAAGUUUGAAGUGACUCUUCGCCUUAGCUCCUUUAGCCCACGAAGACAGGACUUGGCGCUUUGCGUUUGAGUACUCUUUCUCUCAAUACAGAAUUUAGAAUUCCAAAAAGAAAGAAUCAAACUCAAACAGAAGAAUUGGCCAUACGUGCAAGUUCAAUUACUGGUUUUGGCAAAUUGGCUAAUGCGAGUUAGAAAUGUGUUGGGCAUGGAUCCGGGUCAUAUUCCUUACCUUAGAUACUCGGUACUCUACUCGGGUCGGGGCGCAAGAAUCAAUUGAAUUCCCAGUGGCUUGAUUCUUUCUUGCUCUAUUGACUCUUUCUCUAUUCAAGACCAAACUAGAUUCCUCUUGCCUGGCAACCUCUAGUUACCCGACAUCUAUUCAAUACUCCACUAUAUUCCUCUCGCCUCGCUGGACUUGCUCAUAACUCCAGAGCAGUAUACCGAUCCCUUAGCAAGGCCUGUCUGUCCCUUGUCUAAUUCUUUGACUUGUUCCUUCUACUCCUAGGGAUUAGCUUCCAACUGGCACUGCUAACUUUCAUUCUCAUAGCCCUGUUUGAUAGGCAUAAAAUGAACCAUAAGCUAUAUUAGGUGUAUGACAUGAUCUAUUUCCUAUCAAUCUCACUAUCGGAUGUUCUAGUGUAGUGCAUUUGAAACCAAUAUCUUUA